ACAAUACCAAUUGUUGGUAAACCAUACCUAAAAGCAUGCAAUAUAAUCAUUUGGGAGUUUUUGUGGAUGUCGUUUUUGCAAGGUGGGACUAGCAAUCUAGGUGGACCACAAAGUGCAUAAUUCCUCAUGAAUGAUGUGCUAGAAAAGUUUGAAAAACAUCCUUUGCUGGGAAUUUCCCCUUCAAGUCUAUUGAAUGACACAUUAAAAUACUUUAGAUAUAAAAGCUUUUCCAAAGAUUUGGGAAUGACUCCAGAGAGAUUGUUAUUGGAUAAAUCCAAGAAUUCCAAACUAAUCAACCCAUCAAAUGAUUCAGGGAUAUGACCAUGUAGUAUAUUAUUUGAUAAAUCUAAUGAAACCAAAGUUUGAAGACCCCCAAAUGUGGAUAAGACAUCGCCCGUGAGAAGAUUCCUUGAUAAAUUUAGUUUCAGUAGACUCCUCAAAUUUCCAACAUCAAUAGCAUGUGAAUUGUGAAGAUGGUUUGAUGAUAAAUCUAUUUCUAAGAUAUCUUUAAGAUUCCACAAAUUUGAGGGUAUUGCGGAACUCAAUCUGUUGGAAUUUAAGUAAAGAUAUCCCAAAGAAGUAAUAUUACCCAAACAAGAGGGUAUGGGUCCAUGCAGCUUAUUCAACCCUAAAUACAUCUUGUAUAGUCUCUCCAAACCACAGAGGCUUUCGGAGAUAGGCCCUCCUAAUUUAUUAGAGGAAAGAAAUAGACCUUGGAGAUUUCUCAUUCCUCCUAUUGAUGCUCGAAUCAAUCCACUUAAUUUAUUAUAGCCAAGUUGUAAAAGCAAUAGGUUGGUUAAGUUACCUAUUUCCAUAGGAAUAAUGCCUUGAAGCUCACAAUUAUGGGCAUAAAAGUAUUGAAAGGAUUUUGAAAGGUUCCCGAUAUAAGUAGGAAGAACGCCACUCAAUGGAUUUCCUGAAACCGCUAUUUUUCUCAAAUGCCUGCAAUUCGAUAAAGAAGAAAGAAAGCUCCACUCAUGAUCAGUAGCAGAUCCUGUGAUGAAAUUAUUGUUUACGAUUCGGAACCGUUCAAGGUGUCUUAAGUUGCCAAGUGUUUUAGGGAUUGGACCAGAGAAUAAGUUAUGUGACAACUCUAGUUUCUUAAGCAUGGAAGCAUUGGAGAUAGAGUUGGGAAUGUUUCCGCUAAGUUUAUUUCCCCACAAAAAAAGAAACUCAAGCUUUGGAGCAUUGGUGAUGGGUGGUAAAUUACCUGUAAAAUAGAAUCUUUUAGUAUACAAAUUCACAAAAUAUAUAAUACAUUAAAGUAAAAACUGUAAAACUUUAAAUCAAUUAAGAAUAAAAUUUUGGCAUGGAAAAAUGUGAUGAAAUCAAUUAGAAAGUUGAGACAUAAUAAGAAGUUUUGAGUAGUAAUUAGUCCUUGUGAUUUGUAUAGACAAAACAUAUAAUACACUAAUAAUUUUUUAAAAUAUUGUAAAACUUGAAAUAAAAUAAAAAUAAAAGUUUGGCAUGAGAACGUGGCAUCUAAUCAAUCUUAAAAAUGAGACUGAUACUGAAUAAUAAUUAGUUAUGAUUUGGGAAACAAAAAUGUUAAAGUCAUUGUUUUUAAUGUAAACUGGUAUGAUUUUGACCUAUUAGGUUAAUUAUUUAUUUUUAUUAAAUUAUAGUGUAAAAUUUAAAGAUUAUUAUUUGCUCAAAAUUUUUGUGUUUUUCGUAUAUUUGAAAUUUAAUCUUUAUAUUUUUUAUUUUCUGUGAUUUAGUCUCUCUACUUUUUGAAUUAAAAAUUUUAGGUUCAUUUAUUAACACUGUUAAAAAAGUUUUUCUGUUAGUAUGGCAUUUUGAAAAAUAAAAUAAACUUGAUAUCUAUGUUUUUAAUUAUUCCAAAUAUUGUUUCACUAUUUCAAGAUAAAUUAUUUGUGUUUAGACCAAUAUCUUAAGAACUAUUGUUGCAUGUUUAAUUAUUCUAAAGAAUUGUUGAUUGAGUCUUAGCUGAAGUGCACUAUUCUCCUAUUUAUGAAUUGGGGAGUUGGUAAAGUAUUAAAUUUUGAUAUAUUUUAAAAUAUUAAAAAUUUAUUAAAAUAUUUUUUAUAAAAAUUGAUUAUACCACAAUAUACAAUUUUAAUAUCAAAUUUUUAUUUUUUUUUAAAAUAUUAGCGAAUAUAUACUUUAUUUCAAGUUACACAAUUUUUACUAGUUUUUAAAUUUUUUUAAAAAUUUUUAUCGUCUUUUAUAAUUUCUAAUAAUUUUUUAUAAUUUUUUACAAUAUUUACAAUUUCUAACAAUUUUUAAUAAUUUUAUUAUUUAUUACAAAUUUAAAAAUUAACAAAUUUUUAUUUUUUAAAACAAUUAUAUAUUUAUAAUGUAGUUGUUUUUUUUAUAAUUUUAUUUGAAAUUUUAAAGAUUUUUUUUGGUUUUUUUUAGAUGAUGAUGCCAUCAUGAUGUCAUCAUAUGUCACAUGGCAAUUUAUAAUUAGUUGAAUAUCUCAAUCUAUUUUAUUAACGUCCAAUAGACUAAAACAAGAACACCUGAUAAUGUUAGAGACUACACUAGGAAUGUUUGAUAAUAUUAGGUACUAAAGUGGGCAAAAAAAAUUAAGGACUAUAUUAAAAAUAUAUCUAUAAUAUAUAUAAAUGCAUGGAUUUUGAGAAACUUUUGAAAUGAUAAUUAUAUAGUCUUUGUUUUUUUUUUCUAUAUUAUUGAAUUUUUUAUUUUAAAUAUUUUUUUAUUACUUUUAAGAUUUAUCAUAUGCAUGGAUAAGAAUUUUGGUUUUACUAAAAUAUUUGGUUAAAUAAAUUCACUUCAUAAGAAAAUUUAGGAUCCUUAUAAAUAACAAUUUUGAUUCUAUUAAAAAUAUUAUUUUAAAAAAUAUAUAAUAAAAAUUUAAAAUUUAUAUUGAAUUACUUUAUACUUAAAUUAUUAUUAGAAACUUUAUCAUACACAUACAUAUAUGAGAAGCACGUAUUUAGAACAUAAAUUUGUGUUUUAAAAUAACUUAUGAUAAAUAAUGAAAUGUAUAAUUUGAAACUAUUUAAUAAUAACACAUGGCAUAUCUACCAUAUUAAAAUAAAAAUAGAUUAAAUUGUAGGUAAAACAUAAUUUAAACAUAUGAAUACAUCAAAUUAAGAAUACUAAAUGAAUACAGUUAUUUAUGAUGAUGUUGUUGCCAAUUCUUAACUUGGUGUCGAGUUAAUUUGUGACAUCAUAAAUUUAAGUGGUAAAUUUAAGGUUUUAUGUAUUGAUGUGGAUUCAAAUAUCACCAUAAUUUUUUUUAAAAAUAAAAAACUAAAGUACCCUCAAACAAUAUAACUUAUAUUAAAUAUGAAAGGGUAUUUUUAUAAUUUCUUUAACCGAGUUGAUGCCCGGUUGACUCAUGACACCAACUCAAUCAAAAGCUUCAAUAAUAAUAUAGAUAUUCACGUUAAAAAAACCAAAAAAAGUACUUUAGUUCCAAAUAAUUAUAUAAUAAGUAAAUUUAUAAUUGAUGAAUAAAUUUAUAAAUAAUAUAUUUAUAUGAUCUAAUAUAUUAUAUAUAUUAAUUAUAUAUCAUCUACAAACUUUGAAGAUCAAUUUAUUAAGUAUCAAGAAAAGAAAAAAUGAAAUUGAAUUAACACUAAAUCGAUUUUUAGAUUUUGUCCAGAUGAUUUAAUGAUGAUAAAAAAAUUAUUAGCACUAUUUUUGAAUUAACAAAAAAUUAGUGAUAUAUUUUAAUUAUAUUUAUUAUUUAUUAGUUUUAAUAAUGUUUUUUUAAUUAUAUGAAGUAAAAUUAUAUCGUAUACUAAAUAUGGUACAUAUACUUUAAUUAUAACUUGAAAAAUUAUUAUAUAAAUUAAUAUAUUUUAAUUAUAUUCAACCAUUUGAAUAACAAAAUUAAAAAAAAACUAAUUAGAAUUAUUUACUUUUUAAAGUUUAAUGGAAAUUAAAAAAUUAAAAAUAAAUCAAUUCAUAUAAAUCUUAUUGUUUAUUAUCAGAUUAAUAUGAUAAAAGUAUAUGACAUAAAUAGAAGAAACAAAUUCAACACAAUGUUUUUGGAGUUUGGAAAAAAUUAAAGUGAAAAACAUACCUUCUAAUUUGUUGUUAAAUAGCUCUAUACCUUCGAGCGUAGUUGAAUUAAAAAUACUUGAUGGAAUCUGGCCUGCACACAUAGUCGAAAAUUGAAGUGAAAAAUAUACCUUCUAAACUGUUCAACUAAAAAUACUUUAAGCAUCUUUUUUUCCAUCAAAUUAGUUAUCUAUUACAAAUCAAACUCUUUUAUGAAAUGUUGAAGAUGGAAGAUGGAACCUGACCAGAUAAUUGAUUGAAUCCCAAGUUCAAGAUCUCUAGAUUAGACAUGUUAACAAGUGUUUCAGGGAUUGUGCCUGUAAAGUUAUUAUUCUUCAUUUCCAGCCUUCGAACUCUUUGUAAGUUCCCAAGCCAUGAUGGAAUUUCCCCAUUCAGACGGUUGUAGCUUAAUUGAAGGAUCCUCAAACGAUGCAAGUGGCCCAAUUCUUUAGGGAGAUGGCCAUAGAAAUGGUUGCUACUCAAGUCUAGAGAGAGUAGAAAUGAAAGAUUUCCAAGGUGUGGAGGGAUAGUACCCCUAAGAUUCAUGCUUGUAAGAUUCAAAGCUAUAACUCUUUUAUGGAGGAUGCCACAAGAAACACCAAUCCAAUUGCAAACAGAGGUUGAGGCCGUCCAAUUGUUUGCCAUGACAUUUUGAGGACCGGCAAUGCGAUCCUUGAACUCGAGAAGUGCAAAUUGAUCAGAGUUGAGAUUCCUGACUGUUAUAGCCAAGCAAAGUACGGAACAUGGUAUGAAUAAAGCUAAAAGAAGAUGAAAGCAAGUGUUGUAGUCCAUGAUUGCAAGACGGAAUAAGGCAAGAAAAUAAAAAAAAAAGUAGGAAAAGGGAAGUUGAGUUGAUAAAAUAGUUUGGAUGAUGAAGAAAAGCCCAGAGAGCAUGCUUUAAUAUGUUUCAACCCUCGCACACUUGAUAAACUUGAUAAAUUUAAGACUACUCUAAAAAUUAAAAAGGAAAACAAAGUUUUGAUGAAAUUUCAAAAUAAAUGUCAAGUAUUCUUCUUUUAGAAAUACGUAUAAAGAAGUGAAUUUUCAAAAUUUCUCCUAAAUUUUCUUCACAUUACUCCACAUAAUCCAUUAAAAAAAACUUAAAAAAUAUAUUUUAUUAAUUACUAUAUAUUCUUUUAUUUUCAGAAUAAUAAAUUGUUUAAAAUAUGCUACUAGUCCCUGUAAUUUAAAAGUUAAAAAAAAUCCAAUCCUCCUAUUUUUUUAAUUUAAAAAUUCUAGUCCAAUCAUUUUUAAUUCCAUUAAAAAAUUUCAACUUAAUAGAUUUUUUAUUAUCAAUCAUAUGCAACAUUAUAUGAAGGCAGUCUACUCAGUAUAUAUCCAAGUUUACAUAUUUUAAUAGAAAAUACUUACAAUCCUAAUGAUAGGACUAAGUUUUUUAAACUAGAAAAGUACAAAAACUUAAAUUUUAACUUUUUUAAGUACAAGGAUUAAAUUUUAAAUGUUGUCAAAGUACAAGCACUAACAAAAUAUUGUGAUCUAAUAAAUGUAAAAAGCAUUUUAAACAAAAGAUGGUUGAAAUAAUCUAUUUGUCCUUAUACUUUGAUAAAAUUUGAGAUACCAUAAAAUUUGUAUCUUUUUUCGAAUUAUUUAAUGCCAUUUCAACAUUUUCAUUAAAAAAAAAACAUAUCAUUUUGAAUUUGAUCUUUUUCAAGAUGAAAAUAUUGAAAUGAUGUUAAAUUAUCGGAAAGAGAUACAAGUUUCAUGGUAUCUCUCUAAGAAAGCUGAUGUAAGAUAUUAAUGACAUCAUUUGAACAAAGUUUUAGGUCAAAUUAUUCAUCUAGUCCUUGUAAUUAUUCUUUAAGGUGAAUUUCAUUAUUAUUCUUUUAUUUUCUUUGGCUUAAAUAAACAUUUACCCCUAAUUUUAUCACAUUCUCCUUAAUUGGUAUUUAUAGUUUAGAAAAUUUUACAAAUAUAUUAUUUUUUAAGAAAUUAUAAGAAGAUUACAAAAAUUCCAAAAUAAUAUAAAAAAGCUAAGAAAAACCUAGAAAUUCAAAAAACAAAAAAAUAAUGUUUUUACAAAUUGGGGUAUGCAAUCAAUUUUAAGAUGGUUUUUGGAGUUCAUCUCACUUUAGCAUUGACUUACUUUUCUACAGUUAGUCUUCUCCAACAAGUUAAAUAUUUCAAUUUUAACAACAUUGACAGGUCUUAGGGGUAGGGUCGAGCAAAACUCAAUAGAAAUAGAUGAUAUAGGUUGAGUUGGCUCGGCCAAGUCGAGUCGACUUGUUCAAAUUUGUUAAAUUAGUAAAUUUUGGGGUGCAGUUAGAAUUUUUUUGUUUUGAGAUGCUAAGAUUAAAAAAAUUUGAGUUUUGAAAACUUUGACUCCUUUUUGCUUUGAGAGUUGAUUUGAAGAGAAAAGAGCUUGAAGGUGCUUUUGUAGAAAUAGGACAAAUUUUAAAAUAAGGAGUAAAUUGGAAAAAAAAAUUUGGGUUGGGCUAAUUUGAAAAUUUGACACUUUUGUGGGAUAAAAAUAGAAAAAUAUUUUGGUUGAAUACACAUAAGGAGUUACGAACUUGAGACUUAUAGGUAGGCUAAGGCCUUACCACUUAACCAACAAGCUCAUUAUUAUUAUCUUUUAACACAAAUAAAUUUUAAGGCAUACUAAGGGCUUGUUUAGCAUUGCAGUGAAGAAGCAUUUUGGCUUAAAAAACACUUUUGAGAGAAAAGUGGUUCUAAGCUAGUAACUUUUGGCUAAGAUUUUGGCUUUUCAAAAGCAAUUUUGGCCAAAUGGAGAAGUUAAAAUUAUUAGCUUUUCUUACCCAAAAGCAGUUUUGAGUGCUUAAUUACUAAUUCAUCCCCCCAAAAACACAAUUUAAAAUAAAAUAAUACAAAUAUGUUAAUAUUUAAUUACAAAUAUUUAAUGGGUAUAUUUAAAUAUUUAAAAUAUAAUUUAUAUAUUCUAAUUAAAUUUUAUAAAUAAUUAAUAUUUGUUGCUUAAAAAUAUUUAAAAUUUAUAUUUUAUAUAUUAAAAUAUUAACAACAAAUUAUAAUAAAUUAUUUUUUAUAUUCUUACUAAAAUAUCAUAAUAUAAAUUAAUUUUAAUAUUAUUUAAAUACAUAUUUGUUACUUUAUAAUAUCAUGUCUAAGAUUGACGUUUUAUUUCUCAAAAGCACUUUUUGAAAUUAAUACUAAACACUUAAAUUUUAAACUAAACUUCUCAAAGAUACUUUUCUACAACACUUUUAAAAGCACUUUCCAAAAUCAAUGCUCAACUACCUCAAACUCUCUUACCUUAUACUUUAAAAGAGAAAAAAAAAAGAUUUUAAAUUUUAUCCCUAUUUCUUUUAACCCAAUUUUUAGGAUGUCAAACAUUUAUAAAUAAAAUAAGUAAAAGGAAAAAAAAGCAUAUACUUUAUUUUUAUCGCAGGUAAAAGUUUUAAUGGAGAGGAUCAUGUAAAAUUAUGAUCUGAAUAAUUUUAAACAUUUCAUCAUUGCAAAAAUGAAAUAAUAGAAAAGAAUGACUAUUCGAAUUUGCAUUUGUGUUCUUUCUUUCAAUAUUUGCUUUCAAAACUGUGGGAAAAUUUUAAAUUUGAUGAAAUUUUAAAAUUGCAGUUCAGUAAAAUAUAAAUUUUAUGAAUUUGGAGUAGCCAUUUUAUUUAUAAUUUUCUGUGUUUUCUUCUUUGCUGACUUUUUUAAUGUCAUUUUCUAUCAUGAAAGAAACUUAAAGAUUCACUAUGUAUUUCUCAACCACUAUGAAAUUACUUGACUACGGGGGUAGAAUUUUCUCACCAAUUUUCUAACAUUAGAUUUUUUGAAUGAGACAAAUAUUCAAUUUUAACACAUUUCCCAUAAUUAGUCACCCCUAUUUGUGAGUGAUUUGGGGAUAAAAGCUUAAACAUUUAUGGAUCACAUUGCAUUUAAGACGGGUGUUUGGAGUUAUAUGAAAUUUUAACAUAGACUGGCUUUUCUAUAAAGAGUACUCCUUGCUUUACUAUUGUCAUGAUACGAGGAGAUACUGAAAAUUAUUGUACUAUGAAAUUUUAAUUCACUCGAAAAAUAAGUGUUUUAUUUCAAGGGAUUAAUAUUAGCUUUCUCUUUUUUAAAUUUUGAAUUUUUUUUGACAACUGCGUAAUUAAGAAUAUAUCAAUUUUAGGUGUUAUAGGGGUGUUUUAACCUUCCCUAUGUGUAAUCGACUACUGAAACUUUUUUAUUCUUUAGAAUUCAACACAUACCUCAAAAUUUUCUUUUUAAAAGAUUUUUAAAAUCUCUUUAUAAAAGAUUAUCACACUUAACAAAGAUGAUCAGUGACUACUUUUCUUUAAUAAAAUAUUAUGUUUUUGCAGAGACCAAAAUUUUCAUAUUUUUCAAGAAUUCCUCAAUCUAAUUUUCUUUUUGAAUUUUUAUUUUCAAGAGGAAAAUGAUCCCUACAAUUAAUAUUUAUUUUCCUUAUUUUUAAUUUCUUUUUAAGGGAGAUGAAUAGUGGAAUGAUAAUUUUUAGUUAUGGUAAAGUAAAUUUAAUUAUCCACAACCUUCAACUAUUAAUUUUUUCGAUUUAAUUACACAAUUUUUUGAAAUUAACACUCUUUUAUUAGUUGUCGCUAGGUGAUGGACGAAAAGUUGAUUUGGACUUUUUGUUGACCUAAUAACAAAUUUAGAUAUUCAAAGUUUACUUAUUCUAUCAAUUUAAUGCUAAAUUUAAAAAAUUCAACAAAUCCUAUCAAAAAACAAUUGGACCUUGAGUACACAGGCUGUGAGAUUUUCACAUGGCUGUGUCUACACUGCACUCUAUUUUAUCAAAUUCGGACAAAGAGUUACACAGGCUGUUCACACGGGCAUGUGCCUCCUUCACAUGGGGCGUGUAGACCUCCACACAACUUAGGAACUUCCACAUGGCUGGGGCACACGGUCAUGUGGCCUUGUUUUGUAGAUUUUUGUUCUGUGUUAGAUUUUGACUCGUUUUGUGCCUGUGUGUAUUCUGACCUCAGUUAAGACUUAGUAAGAAUGUUUAGGACUCUGAUUAGUUCGAAUUUGUGCAUUUGUUUGUAACUAAUGUGUUAAUUUAUUAGUUUGAUUAAAUGUUAUGUGAUGUUAUUAGUAAAUAGUUACAAACCUAAUUGAUUCUAAAUCUGAUUGAUUGAACUUGUGUGUUUCGUUUUCUGUAUGGAUGUUUGUAUGUUGUGUGCAUUUUGCAAUAGCAUAAAAAUUUUACUAUUGAUUGACUGAAUAUGAACUUCUAUAUCUGUGACACUAUUAGUGUUUGAUGUGCAUUCAUACAUAUGCAUAAAAUUAGGGUUUUGGUUAUGAAGAGAAGGGAGCCUGUUUCGGUAGUUCAACUGUAAUAUUUCUGAACAGCAGUUUACCGCAUGAUUCUAUAUAUAUGUCAGCUUAGCUGCAUAUUAUGAUUUCGAGUGGCUUAUUUUCCUUAUUGUAGUGUGUAGGGUGGAUGAACCUUUUAUAGUUCUUGUAAUAGGCCCAAUUUGUAUGGGCCCAAAAAAAUAAGUUACAAACCCAAAAUAAACAUUACAAGCCCAAAAAUUAAAAAAAAAACUAACGGCCCAAGUGGCCCAAAACCUAACCCUCUUUAGUCGCCACUUCUCUCACGCGAGCCAACCUCCUCACGCGUGCCACCACGUCAGCACCUCCGUACCCUCCACGCUCUCUCUCUCUGCCACCAUAGCAUGCGUCCUUGCCCGGUACUUGCAGACCAAGCAAAAGAGAGCACAACAGUAAAGAGAAAAACAUUGUAUUUUUCGGCUAUAAAAGCCAUGAACAAAUCAAUGUAAAUUUUUUACGACAAAAAUAAAUACAAAAAAGGCAAUUGGAAACAAAAAAAAGGUGGUUCUUUUUUUGUUUUUAUUUCUUUUCUACUUAUAUUUCUACUAGUUUUUAAGAAAAAUAAAAAAGAAUGGAGUCGAAUCUUACCCUUUUCUCGCAUGUGCGCCGUCGUGGGGGGUCGAGGUUCGUCUUUUCCAAUGAAAAAUGACAUUUUUUGAGUUGAGGAAGUCGAAAAGUCAAAAAAUGGCCUUUUUUCGAUUUUUUGGCCACCGUGGAUGGCGGCGCCGUCACCGACGACCGACGGCCGCCACGACGGUCCGUCGGUUGGAGCCAUGGCCGGAGAGGGGAGUUGGGAGAAAGGGGGAGAGUGAUUUGAGUGUUUUUUUUUCAGAGAAUGGGGAGAAAUGAAAAAUUAAAAAAAAAGGUUUUUAUAGAGGAUUGAAAUGGCAUCGUUUUGGGCCUUAACCCCAGUGGCCAAAACGACGUCGUUUCACCCCUUUAAUCUGCGCGUGGACCCGACCCGCAAGAGGAUCCGUGUGUUUUUGUGGAAGGGUCUAUUUGCGUGUUAGACCCUUCCACAUUUUUCAAUUGUCUUAAUCCAGUCCUUUUUUAUUUUCUAAUUUGUACUUCAAAUUUUAUUUUAUUUUUGAUUUGGUCCUAGCAAAACGGCGCGUUUCAGAGGGCGGGGAUAUUUCCCCAAUUGGUCCCUCUUAGUUAUUCGCGCCUUUCAAAUGGGUCCUCUACCUUAUUUUCAUUCUCGAUUUUUACCCAGUUUUCUGAUUAAACUUCAAUUUAGUCCUUCUGCAUCUAUUUUAUUAUAAUUUUAGCCCCUCUUAUAUUCAUAAACUUAUUUUAUUAGGAUUUGGACUCUUAAUUUUAUUUCAAUGUCAAUUUAAUCCCCUUUUAUCUCAGUCUAGGUUUUAUUUUCUUUUUUUUUGUUGUGCUUUAUUUAUUUUAUUUAUUUGCUUACCAUUUCUUUUUUUAUUUUGAUUUUCGUAUUUAAUGAUGCUUUUACUUUAUUUAUUUUAUUCUUGACUUUCAUUGUUAUUGUUGUUGUUGUUGUUGUUAUUUUUAUGGUUUUUUAUUAUUUCAUUUAUUUACAUAUUUUAUUCCAAAUUGUUGCUUUAAAUUUUGUUUACAUUUUAAUUCGGUUCUUUACUUUCAAUAUUUUUUUAUAAACUAUUUUCCCUUACAUUAUUUAUGUAUUUAUUUUAUUUGUUUUUUUUAAAGUUGGUAUUGUCCUUUUAUGUGCAUACUUUGACAUUAUUACCAUUGUUAUUAUUUAUUUUAUUUAUCUUUUGAUUAUUCAUAUUAAUGUUAAAGUAGUGUAUAUUAUAUGAUUCUCGUAAAUUGUCUUUAUUAUAUUCAUUAUUGUUAUUUAUUAAUGCAACAUUUCAUUCAUGUAUUAUUUUAAAUAUUACACAUUUUUACCCAAAUUUGUAAAAAAAUAUAAAAAUUAGAAAAUAAGCAAUAUUUCGUAUUUUGGAAUUUGAAAAGUCGUUCCCUAACUUACGGGGUUUCAAUUUUUUUGAUAAAUCCAAAUAUACGAGCUAUUUUUCAAAAACACAUUUUUAAAAUUAUCUCGAGAAUUAAAAAGAUCGUUUUUCAACUUUUGGAAUAUGAUUUCUUUUCUAAAACUGAGAUAAUAAAAAUUUUCUAAAAAUAAAUAAAAUUUUUGGUGUUUAUUCUCGUUUUGAGAUUUAAGGUUAUGUCCUAACUCACAGGGUAUAAUUCUUUUUCUCGGUUGACAUAAAAUAUGCCCUUUUUAAAAUUCUUUUAGGUAAUUUUAAUAAAAGGAUCGUAUUUUAAGUCUCUUCAAAAUUUUCAACUUUCGACAUUAAGACAUUAAUUAAUCAAUUAGGUAUCAAUUUUGGGCGUGACGAGGGUGCUAAUCCUUCAUCGCACGUAACCGACUCCCGAUCCAUUUUUCUCGAAUUUCGUAGAUCAAAAUCAUUGUUUUAGUAAAAUCGAAACGUUUUGUUAAAAAGAUUGAAUUGCAAGGUGAUCCGAUCACACCAAAAAAAAAUAUCGGUGGCAACUACAGUUUUUUUCGUUUUUAUUUUUAUAAUAAAAGUCGACCCCUUUUUUAUUAAAAAAUGGCUUCGAUAGUUCUAUGUGGUGUGAGGGUAGACGGGCCUUCUAUAGCCCUAAUGUGGUGUGCAGGGUGGUCGAAGUGGUGUUCAAAUGGUUGGGUGGGUUUUUAACUUAUUGCAUACGGUUUGCAUUAGGCAUAUGUGUCUGAUUAUGAUUCUUUUUAAAAUUAUUUGCAAAUGUUUGUACUAAUUUGAUUAUUACAUGUGUUAGAGACAUUGCUUAUGCAGUUUGAUACUAUAUAUUGACUUAUUGAUGUAAGAUUUUCGUAAGUGACCAUCAUAUAGUGCUUGUCUGAAAUAUUUAUGGAGUUAUCCCCUCUUUUACCGACUGUUGUGUUUUGGACUCACACUGAGCUCGCGUAGCUUACCACCUUAGUUUUCUCCCUUUUAGAUACUCUCGUGUUCUGUAGCUAGACUCGACAUAUUAGAAGGCUCAGACGGAAGAGGUGAGAUUUGAUUUAAUAAAGUGUUUCAAUUCAAUUUUAGUUUUUCUAACUUCUUGGGACUAUAAGUGUUAAUAGGGACUGUAGUAUAAGUUUUACUUCUGGAUUUUCGUAAAUUUUUAUUUUGGGACUGAACUUUUGAAAUUGUGGAAUUAUACUUUCUAUUGUUUUUAACGUAAUUUAAAAUCUUUGUUUGAAUCCUGAAUGGUUAAACGACUUAGUUUGAUUUUAGCAAAAAUGAGUUAUAAAUGAGAUGUUAACAAUUCAUUUUGUAAAAUUAUUUUUAGAUCACUUCGGUGUUCAAAGUAACCUCUGAGAUUCGAUCCAUACUUCUAGGCCGAGUUUUGGGGUGUUACAUUAGUUUUCAAGAGGAGAUUGGUGAUCUACUUGAAGAUAGAUUGAUUUUGAAAACUUUGACUCCUUUUUGCUUUGAGAGUUGAUUUGAAGAGAAAAGAGCUUGAAGGUGCUUUUGUAGAAUCAGGACAAAUUUUAAAAUAAGGAGUAAAUUGGAAAAAAAGGGUUUUGGGUUGGGCUAAUUUUAAAAUUUGACACUUUCGUGGGAUAAAAAUAGAAAAAUAUUUUGGUUGAAUACACACAAGGAGUUACGAACUUGAGACCUAUCGAUAGACUAAGGCCUUAGUACUGAACCAACAAGCUCAUUCUUAUUAUCAUUUAACACAAAUAAAUUUUAAGGCAUACUAAGGGCUUGUUUAGCAUUGCUGUGAAGAAGCACUUUUGGCCUAAAAAACACUUUUGAGAGAAAAGUUGUUCUAAGCUAGUAACCUUUGGCUAAGAUUUUGGCUUUUCAAAAGCACUUUUCGCCUAAUGGAGAAGCUAAAAUUUUUAGCUUUUCUUACCCAAAAGCACUUUUGAGUGCUUAAUUACUAAUACAUCCCUCCAAGAACACAUUUUAAAAUAAAAUAAUACAAAUAUUUUAAUAUUUAAUUACAAAUAUUUAAUGGUUAUAUUUAAAUAUUUAAAAUAUAAUUUAUAUAUUCUAAUUAAAUUUUAUAAAUUAUUAAUAUUUGUUGCUUAAAAAUAUUUAAAAUUUAUAUUUUAUAUAUUAAAAUAUUAACAACAAAUUAUAAUAAAUUAUUUUUAUAUUCUUACUAAAAUAUCAUAAUAUUAAUUAAUUUUAAUAUUAUUUAAAUGCAUAUUUGUUACUUUAUAAUAUCAUGUCUAAAAUUGACGUUUUAUUUCUUAAAAGCACUUUUUGACAUUAAUACUAAACACUUAAAUCUUAAACUAAACUUCUCAAAGAUACUUUUCUACAACACUUUUUAAAAACACUUUCCAAAAUCAAUGCUCAACUAUCUCAAACUCUCUUACCUUAUACUUUAAAAGAGAAAAAAAAGAUUUUAAAUUUUAUCCCUAUUUCUUUUAAUCCAAUUUUUAUCCCAGGUAAAAGUUUUUAUGGAGAGGAUCAUGUAAAAUUAUGAUUUGAAUAAUUUUAAACAUUUCAUCAUUGCAAAAAUGAAAUAAUAGAAAAGAAUGACUAUUCGAAUUUGCAUUUGUGUUCUUUCUUUCAAUAUUUGCUUUCAAAACUGUGGGAAAAUAUUAAAUUUGAUGAAAUUUUAAAAUUGCACUUCAGUAAAAUAUAAAUUUUAUGAAUUUGGACUAGCCAUUUUAUUUAUAAUUUUCUGUGUUUUUCUUCUUUGCUGACUUUUUUAAUGUCAUUUUCUAUCAUGAAAGAAAGUUAAAGAUUCACUAUUUAUUUCUCAACCACUAUGAAAUUACUUGACUAUGGGGGUAGAAUUUUCUCACCAAUUUUCUAACAUGAGAUUUUUUGAAUGAGACAAAUAUUCAAUUUUAACACAAACAUAUCUUUAGUUAUUGAGUCACCCCUAUUUGUGAGUGAUUUGGGGAUAAAAGCUUAAACAUUUCUGGAUCACAUUGCAUUUAAGAUGGGUGUUAGGAGUCAUAUGAUAUUUUUUCAUAGACCGACAUUUCUAUAAAGAAUCCUUGCUUUACUUUGGGUAGAUUCUUCCAAUUAGCGUGGUCGUUGGUAUUACUCUCCAACAAUUAUUGUACUGUCAUCCUUAUUCCUACUCCUCCUAGCAGAGAAGUUUCAUAAGUGUUUUAUUUCAAGGGAGUCAGCACUUAGCAACCCCUUGGGGGAUUCAGCACUUAGCAACCCCUUUUAUAUUCAAUGUACUCCGGCUUAUUCCGAGUGUUCAACCGGAAAUCUUGUUUGCAAUAUUUUACCAUUUUUUCCAACUUAACCACAUUUUUAGGAUCUAUGGCAAGUAUUUAUUCUACGUUCAAUUAAAUCUCCUCAUAUAAUGAAUAAUAUCAAAAUAAUGCAUUAAUUCACAUGUUUACUUACCUUGGUGCAAAAUAUUGUAAUUUUGCAAUUUACUCCACAAUUUUCUCUUUUCCCCGAUUGAGGUUGUCUCCUCGUCUUUCUUGAUCUAUAAUAGCAAUUUUAGCUUAUUUAAUAUUCACAUUUAUUAAAACAAUCCUCGACUCACAUUUAUUAAACUUGCUAUUUAAUAUUCACAUUUAUUAAAACAAUCCUCGACUCAACUUUUUACAAAAUUAUGAUUUUGCCCCCAAACUUUUGCAUAUUUACACUUUUGUCCCCAAGCUCGAAAAUUAAAUUCCACUCCUUAUUCUUAUGUUUUACAACAUGCUGAAUACUUUUCCCUUCUAUGGCAACAUCAAAUUCUCACUCUAACAUACACUCAUGAACAUUAAAUAUUUUUACCGAUUAUGUCAAUUUACCCGUUUCUACUUAAAAUUGCUUAGUAAAAGUUGUUUAACAUAAUUCUAGCUCCAUAUUCUACCAUAAAACAGUAAAAUAAACACAUUUCACCUAUGACUAUUUUUCCAAAUAUGAACCCUAGGUUAAAUUAUGUGUUUUGUUCUUCCAAAUGUGUUUUGUUACGAAAUUGAAAACCAAAAUUUAUGUAAAUUUGUCAUGAUUCCUCAAUAGAAAAAUCUGUAAAUUAUCAAAACGUAAAUGUGAACAUAUUAAUUAUUAACUUAAAAAAAACCUAGUCUUGUACAAUCAAAAUUCAAAAAUCAUUUGCCUUGUAAAACUUGUAAUUUUCAUUAAAAUUUUUGCAGCGAAAACUUUUUAUUUAGCCUAUUGAGCAUAUUUUUAAAUUUACGUUUUUAACUUUCGUAAAAUCCCAAUUUGUAUUUUUGUGGUGGAAAAUUUUAUAAUUUUGAAAACCUAGCCUUGAUUGUUGGUUAACACAAAUCAUGCAGAAAAAAAAAACCUUUAACUAAGCCAAAGAAAUCCAAAGCCAAAUUAAAUCGGAGAAAUUCAACCAAAAGCCAAAAGUCCAGUAAAUCAAUUUAUUAACCAGAGCAAACAUUUAAUGAAAGAAUCAAUCCGAGACCCCGCAAAUUCUAACUUUCCGAUUACCUGAAACAUCAUAAAUAAAAUAAAGGGGAGAGCUAUAAAGCUCAGUGCAUAACUAAAACAGAAGCUGAGAUCACAUACAAUACAAUAUACAAAUCAUAAAAUCAUAGAAAAUUUCAUAACAAACAGUCAAACAGAAUUGAGUAUACAUGAUUAUGCCAAUGCGGUAUUUUUCAGAAAAUCUUAAUGCAAAUUUUUCAGAAAACGUCCUACCCAAAUCCUCUACACACUUGAAUAGAGUUCUCCAGAACUUAUCCAUAAAAAAAACACACCAAUUAAGUCAUCCCAGGUUGCCCAAAAACGAUGACUCACCACCAUGGGAUGCCCGACAACGAUGGCUUAUCAAUAUGUAAUUAAACUGUUAGAUCAGAUAUUUGUGGUCAAGCCAUUGAAUUGCAUCUCAGCUACUUAAACAAAAAUAUGUAGUGAAGCCACUAUAUUGUAUCCAAGUUGCCAAAUAAAAAUAUGUGGAUAAACCACCAGAUAGUGCAGACCAUUAAACUACCAAAACUUCCUCCCUGCCAUAUUAUCCCAACCCCAUGCAAUGUGACAUGACAUGCAUUUACAUAAUCAAAACGACAAGCAUGUAAGACAUGUAGUCGUACCAUAACACAAUUUAGCAAGCAUGGCAUUCCACUCUUUUACAGAACAGAUGUAUCAGAAAUUCAACAUAAGCAAGUUGGUAUGCUAUAAAGUCACAUGCAUGAUCACAUAGCAGAAUCAGAAACAUAAAAAUAACGUAACCAAACCUCAUAUACACAAAUACAAACAUAACAAUACAAAUCAUGCUACCAGAUUCAUUAGAAAACAGUUCAUGCACACUAAUUUCACAUACCUUAUUCAUAUCACCUACAAUAUCAAAUUAUCAGAUAUUACAUUUUCAAAGUCAAUUUUACACAGUACGAACCCUACAAAGUGGCUAAACAUGAUUCACGAAUCAAAAGGGGCCUAAACGAAAAUUUUUAAAAGAUGGGCCAAUAUGGCCCAAUUAGCCUAGGCCGUAUGGCGUCGACAGUCCAAUUUUUGACUUUCAGCUGUUCAUUAUUUUUUGACUUUUUUGAUAUACACCUUACUAUUUUCCGAAGCAAAAUCAUGGCAAGAAUUCCAAAACUUAAAAUCCAUAUUCAACCCACUCAAAUUAGUAAUGAAACCCAAAACUAAAUCAUUAAACAACCAAAACUGCUACCAAUAAACCUUAUCAAACCAGGAAUCAACCUUUUGGCAUCUGACUACUAACCCAAAAUAGUAGCAGUAGUACUAAAAAUCUCUCAAUUCAUCGGAAGACUAUUUGUUACAGAAACGUCACCUAAACCAAAGAUUUCAGAGUAAUCAAAAUCGCGUCACACAAAGAAGGAAACAAAUUAACCCUAAAAUCGUGAAACUCAACAAAAUACGAAUCUUUUCACAUAUUCCUUACCACCAACCGUCAAGAUUGGUCAAAAACCACUAAUGACACCGACCAUCGCAAGGUUAAAUUGAAACCAAAAGGCAACUAAAGAUGGAACAAAGGUUGUUAUAAAAAAAAUUAACAAAGACUUAUUGCAGCAAAAAUGGCAAAAAAUCAAGAAUAGGGAGAUUGGAAAAAAAUAAUGAAACGGCAAAGAGAAGGAGUGGGAAAGUGACGGCAGUUUGUGGAGAGAUUUUGGGUAAAUAAAAAGUAACUCACCACUCAACCCAUUAAAUCUGAUUACCCUCUAGACAGAUUCCCUUAGAGUUUAAAUUCAACCCAAAUACCGCUACAUGGGCGGCAUAGUGUAAGGAAAUAAAAAUAUUUCUACUUUGCACACACGCGGUCUUGAACACGAAGCCUUAGGGUAAUUUGAAGCCUUACCACUAAAUUAGUAGGCUCAUCCUUGAAAUUAAUUGAACGAAAAUAUUAUUUAUGUCAGAUGAUCAGGGAUAGAGGUUAAGACCAAAGAUGACAAAAAUUCAAAGGAAAGAUUUAAACCUAGAACCUCACACACACAAGCAUAACACCUAUCCACUGAACCAUAUUUACUCCACUGACAUAAUUUUCACAAUAUUAACUAAAAAUUCAGAAUAUGGUCACUCUUGGUUUCACUUACCUAAUUUCUUCUAACCUGAUUUUUGUGAUGUGACAACUCUCCCAUCCUUAAAAGAAUUUCAUCCUCGAAAUUCCUAUUAUGACACCAUACACUUAACUACAAAAUCUAAAAUUCCCUAGUCCAAACCAACCACCAGGCUAUCAUUGUACAACUCUAAUCUCCAUUCAAGUCUGAUCCAGACAAUAUUUCAGAGGAAUUUCCUAUUCACUACCUCGAAUUACCUCAAUAAGCUUUCCACAGAAACAUCACUAAUGAUCCUUUACCCCAGACUCUAAAAAAAUCACUUACCACAAAAUACAGGUACAAACAAUUCUUAUCAAUGCAUAGUACAUUUGGAACAUAUCAUAAAAGUACCUGUAUCAUUGUCAAAUGCAUCACGGCUCGCUUGAUACCUAGUUGCAUAUCCCCAUCUCAAAUUUUGUUUUUAUGUCGAAGCUUGUACCCGUAAAAUAGUGUCAUGAGCAAUCCCAAACUCGAUGCUCAACUGACCUACAUCUAAAACACGCUCUCAUUUUCCUCCAACAAUCGUCCGAAUGGUGCCUAUCACAGUAAGUAUAAAUCAGAAGCUCAACCGCAUUCACAAUUGCCUCACCCCGCUGAAGCCUGUCUAUUUUAGCCCGUUUCCUUGGUCAUGGAUUCAAGUCAAUAGAACCAUCACUCAUCUUAUUUUGCACUUUAUUCAUUACUUAUUCUCUCCCUUGGAGCAAUUACUCUCUACCGCUAACUUGACUUGAUACGCUUGAGGUCACUCAAUCACAGACUCUUGUCUCAUACAUCCAAAUUGGGUUCCAUCGAUCCUUUGCAAAUCUCUAAACACCUCUUGGAACACUGAAACGUCCCCUACUUCUAAACUGCCCUCAGAUUUGGGCGUCAUAGCAAACUUAUUUAUUUUCAAAUUGGGCUUACUGCCCCGAGAAGAGAACUCAACUCGAGUCACCCAGCUACGUCCACCACGCCCUCGCACAUCAUGACCUCGAGUACUCAUUAUACUAAUCUACAGUUUGCGAAAUUUUAUGAAUUAGCUUAGGUUUAUUAAAAAUUAUAAGUCUAGAGUUUUAUCAAAGUUUCUUACAUAAUUACCAUAGUCUUUAGCUAGAGUAGAGUAAUCCUAGCACUUAAGUUUUGUUAGUUUGUCUAGUAUAGCUAAAGUAAAGAUACUUACAGGAUCGACGAUGUAGUUUUGGAUUCUUUUUGAUAGAAUCAAAUAUAAAAAUAAUCAAAAUCUAAAUACCCAUUUUAGAAACCCAAAGUAUAAUAAUUAAUCAAAAAUUCAAUUUAUUUAAAGCAUAUUUAAUGGAGAUUUUCAAACCCAGAAAUCAUAGCCUGAGUUUUGUUACCUUGCUCUGAUACCACUAAAUGUAACACCCAAAACUUGGCUUAGACAUUAUGGCCAAAUCUGGAAGGUUACAUUAGUACGAAAAAAAUGAUUUUUCCAAAGUGUGGUUUGUUACGAAAUUGAAAACCAAAGUUUAUGUAAGUUUGUCAUGAUUCCCCGAUAGGAAAAUUUGUAAAUUAUCAAAACGUAAAUGUGAACAUAUUAAUUAUUAACUUAAAAAAAACCUAGCCUUAUACAAUCAAAAUGCUAAAAUCAUUUGCUUUAUAAAACUUGUAAUUUUGACUAAAAUUUUUGCAACGAAAAUUCCAAACUAAUAUUCGUAAAUUGUAAUUUUGUCAAGUAAAAACGUUUUAUUUAGCCGAUUAGGCAUAUUUUAAAUUUACGUUAUUAAAUUUUGUAAAAUCUCAAUUCGUAUUUUUGUGGCAAAAAAAUCUUGGCUCGUAUAAUUUUGAAAACCCAACAUUGAUUGUUCAGUAACACAAAACAUACAGAACAAAAGACUUUAACUAAGCCAAAGAAACCCAAAGAAAAAUUAAAUUUGAGAAAUUAAACCAAAAUCCAAAAGUCCAAUAAAUCCAUUUAUUAACCAGAGUAAACCAUUUAAUUAGAGAAUCAAUUCGAGCUUCCACACACUGCCCGAUUCUAAGUUAUCGAUUAUUUGAAACAUCAAAAAUAAAACAAAUGGGUGAGCUAUAAAGCUUGGUGCAUAACUAAAACUCAAGCCGAGAUCACACACAAUACAAUAUACAAAUCAUAAAAUCAUAGGAAAUUUCAUAACAAUCAGUCAAACAAAAUUGAGCAUACAUGAUUAUGCCAAUGCGGUAGUUUUCAGAAAAUCAUAAUGCAAAUUUUUUCAGAAAACAUCCUACCCAACACCACCACACACCCAAAUAUAGUUUCCCAAAACUCGUCCAUCUAAAAACACACCAAUUAAGUCAUCUCAGGUCGCCCGAAAGCGAUAACCUACAACCUCGAGUUAGUCGGCAAUGAUGACUUAUCAAUUUGCAGUUAAACUACUAGAUCAGAUAUUUGUGGUCAAGCGAUUGUACUGCAACUCAGCUGCCAGAUUAAAUGUUCCUAGUGUAGUCCCUAACAUUAUCAGGUGUUCUCGGCUCAGUCCUUUGGACAUUAAAAAAAAUAGAUUUGGAUAUGCAAUUAAUCAUAAAUUGCCAGGUGGUAUAUGUUAAAGUUACGAUAACAUCAUCAUCAAGAAAAAAACCAAAAAAAUCUUUAAAAAAUUUCAUAAAAUUCAAAUAAACUUAUAUAAAAUUAACUACAUUAUAAAUAUAUAAUUGUUAAAAAAUAAAAAUUCUUAAUUAUUUUAAAAUUUGUAAAAAAUAAUAAAAUUAUUAGAAAUUGUUAAAUAUUGUAGAAACAUUAUAAAAAUUAUUAGAAUCAUAAAAGACGGUAAAAAAUAAAAAGUUAAAAUACUAGUAAAAAUUGUCUAACUUGAAAUAAAGUAUACAUUUGGUAAUCAAAUUUAAAAUAUUGAAAAUUUAAUAUUAAAGUUGUAUAAUUUUUAUAAAAAAUAUUUUAAAAUAUUUUAAUAAAAAUUGAAUAAAUUUUAUAUCUAUUUUUUAAUAUUUUAAAAUACAUCAAUUUUCAGUACUUUACCAACGUUACUGGCAACAAGUUUUUUCGACUUGACUCCCUAUUUAUUGUCUUAAGUAGCUUCCUGCAUCCACCAUUUUGCACAUGGUUUUUCUAUUUUAUACCAAAGCUCUUUAGAAUAGUUAAACAUUCGACAAUAGUUCUUAAGAUAUUAGUUUAGAGACAAAUAAUUAUCUUGAGAUAGUAAAAAAAAAAGAAAUAAUUAAAUAUAUUAUUUACUUGAAAUAAUAUUAUUUUUCAUUAUUUAAAUUAUUUGAGAAAAAAACUUAUUCAAGUUUAUCACGUAAAAAGAUCUACCAAUUAUAAAUUUUGAUUAGUUGAACCAUAAGACAAUUGUUAUAGGUAGUAUCAUUCCAAGAGACAAUUAUCACAUGUUCAAACUCUAGUUAAUGUGAUUUAUAAAAUUUUAAAAAUAUUAAAAUAUCUAAUAUAUUUUUGAAAUUUAUGUAAAUUUUUAUAUUUUACACAGUUUUUUUUUCUAUUUUUAAAUAAUUUUGAUAAUUUUUCUUUUAUAAUUUUUGUCAUUUUUGAAGAUUCUUUAAGGGUUUUUGUUGAUGAUUUCAUUAUGAUAUCAUCAUACGACAUGUGGUAGUAUAUGAUUUGUUGAAUAUUCCAAAGAAUUUUUUAUUGACCAAUGAACUAAACUAAAAAUUUUUAAUAACAUUAGGGACUGAAGUGGAUAAAAAUAUUUUAAAAACUAAAGUUAAAAAAGUGAUAUACUUGCAUUAACAUUUUCUAAAAGAUGGAAGUGUUUUUCUGUUUUAAGGGAAUAGAAUUUUUUUGAGUGAAUAUAGUUUUGUGAGGGAGUAGUGAUAUUAUUAUUAGAGACAAGGCAUUUGAUUUUUAUAUAACUUUUUAAUUAAGUCAAUAUCACUCAUCGAGUAAAACCCAACAUAUUAAGCACAUUAUUAUACUAAUUUAGAUUAAUAGGAAUCAUCAAAUUUACAAUUAAGGAUUAUAAAUUUAUUUAAUUCCAAUCUUCUACCUUUUCUAAAUUAUAAGAAUGGUUUUGCCUUAUAUUUUCUUCAAAUUGAGAUUUAAUUUAUAAUUUUAAUUUUGAUAUAAUUUAGUUUAUCAAUUUUUAUAAUGCAAUUAAUUAGUUAAUACUUUAUUUUAAUCAAAAUAAUUAUAUUAAUUUUAAAGAAUUAUUAUCACCGUUAAAAUUCUUUACUAACAAUGAUUUAAAAUUAAGUUCUAUUGCUUUUGUUUUAGAUUACACAUAAAUGUUUACAAUAUGAAAUUCUUUAUAAUUUUCAAUACAUAUUACUUAAAUAAAUAGAAAAUAGAGUUUUAAUAAUGCACAACCAAAUAAAUUUUAGGGUAAACGACCAAAAUAGUCACUUUUGUUUGCCUUAGGUUACAUUUUAGUCACUUAUGUUUGAAAUGUUACGUUUUAGUCACUUACGUUAUCGUGUUGUAACAUUUUAGUCACUGAGUCAUUAAUUGUCGACAAUGGUGUAAUGGUAAGUUGAUGUGGCACGUUAAAUCAUCAUUUCAAACGAAAUUUUUAGGUUAAAUUCUACAAUUGGUCCCUAUAUUUUUCAUUUUCAACAAUUUAAAAAAUUUCUUUUAUGUUCUUCUAACUUUUUUUUUUCCAUUCUCUUAUGCUUCUCCCUCUAUUUUCCUCCCUUCUUCAUUUCUUUUAACAUAGUUUUUCUAUGAUUUCCAUUUGUAACUAGUCCACAAGCUCGCCUCACUCGAAAAAAUUAAAUUGUUCAAAAAAUAAAACAUAGAAUAACUACGUUGAAAGAAAUGGAGAAGGGAGGAAAACAAAGGGAGAAACAUAAGAGAAUGGAAAAGAAAGAAAGUUAAAAAAACAUAAAAGAAAAAAUUAAAUUGCUCCAAACGAAAAAAUAUGGGGACCGAUUGUAUAAAUUAACCUAGAAUUUUUGUUUGAAAUGAUGAUUUAACGUGCCACAUCAGUUUACUGUUACACCGUUAAUAGAAACUAACGGCUCAGUGACUAAAAUGUUACAACGUGAUAACAUAAGUGACUAAAACGUAACAUUUCAAACAUAAGUGACUAAAAUGUAACCUGUGCCAAACAAAAGUGACUAUUUUGGUAGUUUACCCUAAAUUUUAUUGAUGUUCUAUUAUUUUGAUUUCUUAGACUUGUAUAUAGGGAAAAUAAAGGACUAUUGCCAUUUAAUUGCUUUAAAACAAUUUUAAUGAGCUCUAGUCAUGCAAGAUUACCAUUAAAUAGAAUACUCAUAUAGAAGGAUUUACUAUUUUUGUUUCUCAAAUCACAACUAAUAAUUGUUCAUAAUUUCUUAUUUAGUGUCAUUUUUAAGAUUUAUUAGAUGACAAUUUUUCAUGCCAAAGUUUUAUUUUUAUUUCAUUUAAAGUUUUACAAUAUUUAAAAAAUUAUAUAUUUUGUAAAUUUGACAUUUAAUCAAUUUUAGAUCUAAAAAGUAAUAAUGAUUUCAACCCAAGGCCUGAGCUAGGAAUAGUUUUAGUUUGGAGUACUAUAUAUAUAUAUAUAUACUAAAAGAUGCAAUUUUUAUAAAUAACUUACAAAUCUAUCAUUAAAUCAAAUACUGGUAUGAAAUGGUUUAAUUAUUUGAUCACAUUUUUCCAUGACAAAAUUUUAUUUUUAUAUGAUUUAAAAUUUUACAAUUUUUAUAUUGUGAAUUUGGUGUACUAAAAGAUGUAAUUUUACAGGUAAUUUUAAUACCCAUCACCAGUGCUGCAAAGCUUGAGAUUCUUUUAUUGUGGGGAAAUAAACUUAGUGGAAACAUUCCCAACUCUAUCUCCAAUGCUUCCAUGCUUAAGAAACUAGACUUGGCAGAUAACUUAUUCUCUGGCCCAAUCCCUAAAACUUUUGACAACUUAAGACACGUUGAAUGGUUCCAAAUUUCAAACAAUAAUUUGAUCAAAAGACCUGCUACUGAUCAUGAGUGGACCUUUCUUUCUUCUUUGGCAAAUUGCAAGCAUUUGAGAAUAAUAGAUGUUUCAAGAAAUCCAUUGAGUGACGUUCUUCCAACUUAUAUUGGGAACCUUUCAAAAUCCCUUCAAUACUUUUAUGCAUCUAAUUGUGAGAUUACAGACAAUAUUCCUAUGUAAAUAGGUAGCUUAAGCAACCUAUUACUUUUACAACUUGGCUAUAAUAAAUUAAGCUUUAUUCCAACACCGAUAGGAGGACUGCAAAAUUUGCAAGGUUUACAACUUUCCUCUAAUAAAUUAGAGGGGCCUAUAUCAGAAAGCCUUUGUGGUUUGGAGAGAUUAUACUACUUGUAUUUAAGGCUGAUUAGGUUGCAUGGAUCCAUACCCUCUUGUUUGGGUAAUAUUUCUUCUUUGAGAUAUCUUUACUUAGAUUCCAACACAUUGAGUUCUACAAUACCCUCAACUUUGUGGAAUCUUAAAGAUAUCUUAGAAAUAGAUUUAUCAUCAAACCAUCUUUACAAUUCACAUGCUAUAUUGAUGUUGGAGAUUUGAGGAGUCUACUAAAACUAAAUUUAUCAAGGAAUCUUCUCAUGGGCAAUAUCUUCUCCACAUUUAGGGGUCUUCAAAUUUUGAUUUCAUUAGAUUUAUUAAAUAAUAUACAACAUGGCCAUAUCCCUGGAUCAUUAGGUGGUUUGAUUAGUUUGGAAUUCUUGAAUUUAUGAAAUAACAAUCUCUCUCGAGCCAUUCCCAAAUCUUUGGAAAAGCUUUUAGAUCCAAAGUAUUUUAUUGCGUCUUUCAAUAGACUUGAAGGGGAAAUUCCCGCCAAAGGAUGUUUUUCAAACUUCUCUAGCACAUCAUUCAUGAAGAAUUUUGCACUUUGUGGUCCACCUAGAUUGCUAGUCCCACCUUGCAAAAACAAUAUCCAAGAAAACUCCCAAAUGAAUAUAUUGCAUGCUUUAAGGUAUGGUUUACCAACAGUUGGUAUUGUUGUAGUACUAAUAGUCUUAACUAUUGUAAUCACUGAAUUUUGUCCGGCUCGAUUUGGUUUUUUUUAAAAUUUUUUUUUAAAUACAAAAAAUAAAAAAUUGUAUUUUGACCCCUAAACUUUUUUUAAAAUUACAUUUUACCCCUAAACUUUCUCAAAAUUACAUUUUGACCUCUAAACUUUCUCAAAAUUAUGUUUCGACCCUAAUACUUUUCCUGCAUUUGCAGUUUAGUCCUUCUGGCAGCAACUUGCACACCUACCCCCGUGAUUUCCGGCCACUGGCCUAGGGCAUGGCCUCCCUCUCCCCUAGCCACCUAAUCCCUGCAAAAAGGAAGAAAAAACAGCUAUAAAAUGGGUUAAAAAACCCCAAAAAUCGGACCCCCCACGAAAAAAUAAAAAAAAAACUUGCAAAAAAGAGAAAAAGAAGAGGAAAAAGGAGAGAAAGAGAGGAGAAAGGAGAAGAAGAGGCCGGCCAUCGGCGAACCACUGGCAGCAGCACGAGCAGCGACGUCGACGGCGGCGAAGGAGACCGAACGGAGAAGAAGAAGGAGAAAAGAGAAGAAAAAGAGAAAGAAGAAAGGAAAAAGAAGAAGGAAGAAAAAGAAAAAAAGAAAAAAUAUUUUUUUUAACAGUCGGGUCAAACCGACCCGACCCAACUCUGACCCGAACACCGCGACCCGACCCGGCACCUGCAUACCCAGGCCAAGCCCAGCAGCCUAAAGAAAAAACAAAAAAAGAGGCAAAAGCAAAAAAAGAAAGAAAGAAAAGGAAACAGGCCAAAAACAGCCCAAGCGCAGGCCCAAACCAACGCCAGGCCCAACAGCAGGCCUAGCAGGCCAACCAACCCAACGCUAGGCCCAACAGCAGGCCUAGCAGGCCAGCCAGCCCAACGCCAGCAGCAGGCCCAAUAGCACAGGCCCAAAAGGCAGCAGGCCAAAAAAAAAGAAGAGAAAGAGAAAAAAAAAGAAAAAAGAAAAAAAGAGAAAUAAAAGAAAAAAAGAAAAAAAAAAGAAGAAAAAAGGGGUUUCAAUUUGAACAACCCGUUCGGCGAAGCUCGUGUUUUAGAUUUUUCGGUAAUUUUAUUUAUUUCUCUUUUAAUUUAAUGCUCGUAUUUUUAUGUUAUUUCAUUUUAAUAUUAUUAGCAUUUUAUGCAUUUUUUAUAUUUUUAUAUUUUUGUAUUUAUAUUUUCAAUUUAAUUCAAUUUUAAUUUUAUUUUAUUUUAAAUAAUUUUAAUAAAUAAGGCAACGGAUCGAUUUAUCAUAAAAUUGUUGAUUUCAUCGCUAUGUUGGGUGAAUAUCACCGGUUUGUGUUAAACUCGAUACGCUCUUUUAAAAAUAAAAAAUAUUCAAAAAAAUUGUAUUUUCAAAAAAAAAUCCUCGGGUUUCGAAAUUUGCGUGUCUUCAAAAUAAUUUCUCGUGUUUUCAAAAAUAAGGUAACGAAUCUAUUUGACACUAAUUCGUUGAUUUCAUUGCUAUGUUGAGUGAAUAUCACUGACUAGUGUUAAAUAUGAUACGUGCUUAAUAAAAAAAUCAGAAAAUUUUUCGUGUUUUCAAAAAUUUCCGUGUUUCAAAAAUUUUCAUGUUUUCAAAAAUUCUCGUGUUUUCAAAAAAAUUCCAAUUUUCAAAAUUUUUCGUGUUUUCUAAAAACUUCUGUGUUUCAAAAAUUUUCGUAUUUUAAAAAUUUUUGUGUUUCUAAAAUUUUCGUAUUUCAAAAAUUUUCUUGUUUUCAAAUUUUUCGUAUUUCAAAUAUCCUCGUGUUUUCAAAAAAUUUCGGUGUUUUGAAAAUUUUCUUGUUUUUCAAAAAAAUCUCGUGUUUCAUAAAUUUUUGUUUUUUUUUAAAUUGUGUUUCCAAAAUUCUCGUGUCUAAAAAAAAUUCUCGUGUUUUAAUCGGAUCAGGAUUAAAUAUUAAAUUGAACUCGUAUUUUUGAAAGUGAAGACAACUCGCAUUUAACGAGAUACCAAUUUCGGGCGUCGCGAGGGUGCUAAUACCUUCCUCGCGCGUAACCGACUCCCGAACUCUAAUUUUCUCUGGAUUUUCACGUAGACCAAAAAUUACCUCUUUUUUAGAAAAAUUUAAAAAAUAAAUUUUCCUUCUAAAAAGAGAAUUUAUUAGGUGUCCAAUCACACCUAGGAAAAAAAAGAUCGGUGGCGACUCCUUUUUCAAAUAAAAUCGAAACACCGUUUUCAAAUUUUCAACAAUCAUUUCGAUUAGCGCCCGUGCACGAAAUUUUUAGGUCGCUACAACUAUUAUGUAUAGAAGAUGCCAAAGUAGGAGUACAACUCUACCAAUUCAGGAUGAUUUGUUUUCUUUGAAAACGCUGAGUGGAAUUUCACAUGCUGAACUUUCACAAGCAACUAAUGGAUUUGAGGAAAACAAUAUGCUUGGUUCAAGGAGUUUUGGAUAUGUAUAUAAAGAAAGGCUUUCAGAUGGAAUGGAAGUUGCAAUAAAAGUUUUCAAUUUGCAAACAGAAGAAGCAUUUGGGAGCUUUGACAUUGAAUGUGAUGCUAUGCGAAAUAUAGAUCAUCAUAAUAUUGUGAAGGUCACUACUUACUGCUCAAGUGUUGACUUCAAAGCCUUGGUGCUUGAUACAUGUCUAAUGGAACUACAGAGAAAUGGUUAUAUUAUUAAAACUAUUUCCUUGAUAUCAUACAAAGGGUUGACAUAAUGAUAGAUGUUGCAUCAGCUAUAGAACAUCUCCACAACGGGCAUCCAACACCUAUAAUUCAUUGUGACUUAAAACCAAGCAAUAUUUUACUAGAUGAAGACAUAGUUGCACAUGUGGGAGAUUUUGGCGUUGCCAAAUUGUUGGGAGAAUGUGAUGUAAUGAAGCAGACCAUGACUCUUGCAACAAUCGGGUAUAUGGCACCAGGUGAAUUUUUUAUUUUUGUAUUAUUAUUUGUCUAAUAUGCAUUUUAUAUUUUGUUUCAUCUGUAUGUGGAUAUAUAUUUGAAUAAUCAUUUUAGAAAUAAUUAAAGAUUAAUGAUGCUCUAAUUUUACUUGAAAUGCAAAAUUUGGAUCAACGGGAAUUGUUUCUAUAAAAUGUGACAUCUAUAGUUAUGAGAUUGUCCUUAUACAAACUUUCACAAAGAAAAAGUCAACUGAUAAUUUUUUUGCUGAAUAAGUGACUAUAAAGCAUUGGAUGGGAAGUUCAUUGCCAAAGGAGCAUGAAAAUCCCCAAAACCUAAAUUCUUUCCUUCUAGCAAUGAAGAGAUGGUGAGGGGAAGGGGAAAAAAUCACGUUAAAUGAAAAGAAAAAGAAAAAGAACAAAAUUAAAUUUGACGUGAAAAUUAUUUUAAUACUUUUAAUUUGAGUUGGAAAGGUUGAUGAUGUAGCAUAAAAUAAUUGGAUAGGACCAUAUUUGAGGUAGUGGGUGUAACACCCCUUACCUGAGACCGUCGCCGGAAUCGAGUACGAGAUGUUAUCCAAUUUAACUUACCAAUUUGGAGCAUAAAAAUUUGCUUUGUAAAUUACUUUCACAAUUUACAGCAAAGCUGUCCACCUGCGCGACUGUCACUAAUUUAAUUAUAACUCGAGUUACGAAACUCGAAAUUUAAAUCCGUAAAUUUUCCAUGAAACUAGACUCAUAUUUCUACGUACCAUAAAAUUUUUAGAAUUUUUGACUUAUCCAAUUAGUACAGUUUAUUCAUUAAAGUAUCCCCUGUUUCACAACUUGACAGAUCUGACCUCUUGGCACUAAAAAUCAAUUAUCUCACUGUACAAAAUUCAUAUAAGGUUAUCAUUUAUUUCUCUUGAAAAUAGACUCACUAAGGAAUCUAGAAAUAUAAAUUAUGACCCAUAAUUCUUUCUGUACAAUUUAUAAUGAUUUUCUAAAGUCAGAACAGGGGACUUUAAAAACCAUUCUGACCCUGUCUCACUAAAAUUCAAAUAUCUCAAAAUAUACAAUUCCUUUGCCUACACCGUUUCUUUCAUAUAAAAAUAGACUUGAUAAGCUUUAAUUCCAUCUAUAAUUCACUCUCUAAUUCCAUUUAUACUAUUUAUGGUGAUUUUUCACAUUCACGUCACUGCUGCUGUCAAAAAAACUGCUUCUUUAUAUUAGUUCCAUUUACACAUACAUACCACCAAAACAUAAUCUCUACUAACCACUUCAAUAGCUAAUCUUAGCCAUAUCAUAUGAACAUACUCAAAAUGAUUAAGACUCUAUACAUGCCAUAGUUUAAACAUUUUGGAAAGCACACAAUACCGAGAUGAUUAUGAUAGUGUGAUACGAGCUCCGACGAUCCCCAAUUCGAUCAAGUUCAAAUCACUAUAAAACAAAGGAAAUAAGAAAAUGUGUAAGCUACAAUUAGCUUAGUAAGUUACAUGUAAAUAAUAGAUACUCAUUUAAUAAUUAACACUUUUAACUUAUAACUAAUCAAAACAUUUCUUGGCAAUUUCAAUCACUUACACAUGCACAAUCUUACCAUUUCACUUACAUAUACAUUUUCACACUUAACCUUUACCACUUUUGAUCAUUAUUUCAAUUGUACCUGCAUACACACUUCAUUUCAUAUUCACUUUAACACAUUAUUAAUCCCGUUGAACACUUGGAAUAUACACGGAUACAUAGAGAUUUAGCACAUAAGUGCCACACUGAUAUGUAGCCGAAGCUACCACUGAUAUGUAACCGAAGUUACCACUGAAUGUAGCCGAAGCUACCACUGGGAUGUAACCGAAGCUACCACUGAUCAAUAACACUGGAAAUGUCCACGGGCCUGCUCACACAAGCUGUCAGGUGUCUGCAACACAUGCUAGAUCACCCAGCACCCGGGACUCACUGUAACACUGUAACACUGGUCUCUAGUGACAUGUCACUUGUAUCCAUUUCUAUUCCUAAGUUCAACUGGGAAUUUACACUUAACACUUUAUUUUCAACACUUUAUCACUUGAAUAAUUCAUGAAUAUUUUUCCUUCCACAUUCAAUAUUGAUUCACAUAUCAAUAAAAUUCACAAUUUAUAAAAAUGUAUUACUAUUAUUUACACAUAACUUACCUCGGAUGCAAAACGACUAUUUCUGUAAUUUAGUCGAUAACUUUCUCUUUUCCCCGAUCACUUGCACUAUUUCUUCUUUCUUGAUCUAUAUUAACACAAUUUAAUACAUUUUAUCAACAUUUCAUUCAAAUACAAUUCAUACACAACAUUUUGGCAAAUUUACAUUUUUCCCCAAAACUUUUCAAAAAUUUCACUUUUGUCCCUAAGCUCGUAAAAAUAAAAUUCACUAAAUUCUUAAAUUUCAAACUUCACUAAAUCAUAUUUCAUGCUCAUAACAGCCCUCAAUUUCACAAAAUCACAACUUUAUGCACACUUUACCAUCUUUCACAAUUUAGCCCUUUUUCAACAUUUUCAUUGAAAUUCAUCUAGUAAAACUUGAAAUUAACACUUCAAACAUUCAUUAUCUAACAUCACUAAUCACUUUACAAUUAUAUCAUGAAUGGGUCAAUUUUUAAACUUUAAUUUCACUUAAAUUAAAUGGUAGAAACAUGAAAUUCAAGCAUCAAUAAGCAUAAAAAUACGAAAAUAAUUAAAAACGGGGCAAGAAAUCACUUACAAUUGAGCUUAGAAAAAUCAAAACCCUUAGCUAUGGUAACAUGAAACUUUCGGCAGCAAGCUUCUGAUUUUUGAAGAAGAUGACACUUAUUUUCUCUUAUUUUGUCUUUUUGGACAAAAAUGCCCUUGACCCAUUACUUAGAUAUUUUUCUAGAAUUACCCUUUUGUGUCCAUAUCACUAAUUUAUGGUCUAAUUGCCACAUAAACACUUCCAAUUUCAUGCAAUAAUUCAAUUAAGUCAUUUAAUCACUAAUUAGACACACUUUGCAAUUUUCUCGAUUUAGUCCUAAAAAUUCAAUUAGGCACUAAAUCAUUAAAAUUUCCUAUCCAUAUUUUCACACAAUAUUUCAAUCAAUCAAUAACUAAUAAAAAUUUAUAAAAUUAAAAUAUUUCACUUCGGAUUUGUGGUUACGAAACCACUAUUCCAAUUAGGCCCUAUUUCGGGCUAUCACAGUGGGAAAGGUCCAUGAAAUAAUUUUUCUAUGUUAUCAAAUAGAUGAAUGAUGGUUAUUGGGAUCAAACUAAUGAUUUUGAGGAUGUUAAUGGUUAAUUUGGUGGAGAGGGUGGAAAAGAAACAAAUAAUUCAUUAUAUGUCAUAUAAUUAUGCAAUUCAAGUUGUAAUACCCAAAUUUUACCCGGCCUACAAAAACAGUCCAAAUUACAAUGGGCUUAUGUGGCCCAAAACCUGAAAUGAACAGAGGCCCAAAACAAUGGCCCAAAACAAUGUCAGAAACUCCUAGGGUUUCUAAGGAAACUUUCCCGCCGCAGCCACCAAGCACCACGAGCCGAAAUCUUCACCUGCGCAGAAACAACGGAAAUGGCAAGAAAAUCAAAGAUUGCGAAUCAAAUAUGAGCAAGAUUUGAUUCUUUAUAUUAUUAUUUUCAUUAUGGCUAUAAAAUAGCCAUUGAUAUGCUGUAAAAAAGGAGGGGAAGACCAAAAGAAAUACAAAGACCAAUAGGAAAUUUUCUUUUUUUUGAAAUACAAAGGUUUUCUUUUCUGUUUUACCUCAUUGUCGAUUAUUGUUCUUUUAUUUUUUCAUUUAUACAUAUACAUAUUUGAUUUUUUAUAGUUUCUCUAUUUUUUUUAUUUAUUUUUGCUUAAAAUAUAAAGAAAAGAGGAGGGAUUUUACCUUUUUUUCGUCGAAGUUGUCGAACGGUGGCCAUCUCCGUCGCGAUCGGAGUGUUGGCACAGGCGAACAGCGGCGCAAAAGGGGUUAAGAAAAAACCCUAGCAGAGCAUUUGUGUUUUUUUUGUUUUUUUUUAUGUGGGUUAUUGAUUUUUAUUUUUUUAAAGAAUUUUCGUUUAAAUAACAUUAGCAAAACGACGCCGUUUUAGGGGAGCAGGAUCCGCGCGUUGACCCGACCUGCAGGCAGGGUGCACGUUCUGGCCUUGAAUGGGGUAUUUGUGCAUUUAGUCCCUCCUCUUUGCGACGCACUUCAAUAAAACCCAUUUUUCUUUUUCUUUUUUUAAAUUUAGCGGCAUAUUUCAUUUUUGUUUCAAUCGAGUCCGUCACUGCGCAGCGUUUUGGAAGUCGGAAUUAAUUUCCCUUUUGGUCCUCUAUUGUUGCUUGCGCAUUCAAGUUGGUCCCUUCUUUAUAUUUAUUGCUAAUUUGCCCCAUUUUUUCGCUUUUAGUUCAGUUUAGUCCAUUUUUUUAGCUAUUUCAUUAUUUAGUUAUUUUUUUAUUUAUUAUUAUUAUUAUUAUUAUUAUUAUUAUUAUUUCUAAAUUUAUACACGCAUUUUUUUAUGGUAUAUAUAUAUAUGCAUUUUUUUUGUAUAAUAUAUAUUUUUUAACUUUUAUAAAUACAUGCAUAUACUUCAUACAUAUUUGUUUAUUAUUAUUUUGAUUUCAAAACUUUUAUAUACUUUAAAUUUUAUAUACAUACAUAUACAUUUUAUAACACAUAUACAUUUUCCACGUUUUAUAAUUUAAAAUACACAUACAUUUUCUAUAAUAUAUUUAUGUAUACGUUUUUAUUCUUUAUAUUUUUUUUGGUUUAUUUCCUUCGUCUAUUCAUUGAUUUAGGUUUUCAUUUACAUUUUAAAAGAAUGUCCUUUUUUUAUAUUGCUUAUUCAUUUUAUAUUUUUGCAUUGUCAUUGUUUAUUUUUUUAUUUUAUAUUAAUUUCGUUUAUUUACUAUUUAUAUUAUUUCUAUACAAUUGUCGUAUUUAUUAUUGCAACAUUUAUACAUACAUUCCAUAUAACAUUACAUCAUCUUUUACUCGAAUUUAAAAAUAGAAAAUUUUCAAAAUAGAGAUAAUACUCGUAUUUAGGAUUUUCAAGAAAAUUGAGCCCUAACGUAUUGGGUUCCGAUUUUCUUCGUUAAAUCUAACAAUCGAGAAUUGCUCUUUGAUAAAAAAUAAAAUAAAAACUUGUCAUCGGGAAUUCAAUAUGUUGUGUCCUAACAUAUUGGAUGUGAUGCGUUGAUUUCUCGAGAUAAAGAUUUUCUAAACAAUAAAAGAAAUAUUCAAUGUUUGGGAUUUUAAGAAAUUGUGCCUUAACGUAUUGGGCUGUGAUUUCUUCAUAAAUUUUAAACAAUUAAAUAUUUUCUUAAAUUUUAUUACACGAGUUUUUUGGACCAGCUCAUCUUAAAAAGAAUAAAAUAUUGUGCCCUAACGCAUUGGGUGUGAUAUUUUCUUUUUUCAAAAUGAGAAAGUCUUAACAAAAAAUUUAAUUUAACUAAGGAUCGUAUUUAUUAACUCUCGACAUUAAGACACUGAUUAAUCAACUCGGUACCAAUUUUUGGGUGUUACGAGGGUGCUAAUCCUUCCUUGCACGUAAUUUACUCCUAAACCCGUUUUUUAAAACUCGUAGGCCAAAGUCGUUUUUUGGUGAUCCAAUCACACCUUAAUAAAAGAUUGGUGACGACUCCAAUUUUCAUCGACAACUAAUUUUUGUUUUUUUUCAAAAUAAAAAUGGUUUCGACAGCUUGGCGACUCCGCUGGGGACACAUACGAGAGUCGAGCCACAAAGUUGAUUAAUUUCUGUCUUAUUGGCGAGAAAAUAAAUUUUUUUAAAAAAAUCAUGAAAUCAUUGUGCAUUCAUUCAUUUUCUUGCUUAAUUGAUCUUUGCAUUAUACAUUACAUGAGUUGAAUGAUUUUACCCUUCUAAGUGGGAGUGAGAAACUAUUCCUUCGUGAGGUUUUCACCUCCGUAUAGGAUAGUGGAUCGCUUUCGGGAUACAUCUGUACCUAUGCCUUCUUGAGAUUUUCAUCUUCGUAUAGUCAUAGGGAAAAUGUAUUCCCCUGAACCGAACUUGAUCUAUAUGAGCCUAUAAUGGGUGAAGAUUGAGGAAUCUGCUGGUUUGGGUACCUUUGCCCUAGAAGUCAAACCACAUAUAGUGAACCUUAGGAACUUGCCCUAGGUAGGGAUAUGCCAAACCCCUAGUGGUCACCCGAAUAGGUUUUCUAUUUAUUCUUGCUUUAGCUUUGUACCAACCUGUUUUCUUUUUGGUUGUGAUUGCAUUGCAUUUUCAUCAUAAAAAAAGAGAGAGGUGUUGAUUCACAUUCAGUUGCUAAAUAGAUAGCUUGUCAUAAGAAAAUGAGUUUCUUGAUAAAAUGGAUGAUAAUAUGGUUGUCCGAAUAUGGUCCAAGAAAUGUGAUAAGAGAAGGAUGAUAGUUUAAUGGAGGACUACACGACUAUGGCUCCAUUGCCCAAGGAUUCAAGAUAACAAAGAUUAUUCGAGAGCCGCUAAACUUUCUUAAAGAGAAACCAACAAGCAUCACAAGGAUGAGUGAGCAACAAAUUGCGGCCUGGAUCAAGCAAAAAGGAGAUAGAAGAGACUUCCUUUUUGAAAAGUUCGUGAGAUUUAUCUUAACGCUUGAAUGAAGAAGAGGAUCGAAUGUCUUCGCCUAUGAGGGCAAGGCUGUAUAAAUAUUCAUUUUAUGUAAAGAGAUUUGUUUUCUAGUAAAGUUCUCUAAAUGGAAUUGAAUCAGAAUCAACGUCCCUUUAUGCAUUCAUUUCCUGCAUUCGCAUUACAUGAUAUCAUAGCAUUAAAAUCCACUAAAAGAUUCUAAUUAAUAUAAAUCAUUCCUCAGUUAAUCUGGAAACCAACCAACCCAUCACACACCACUACGGUACUCGAUCAAAAACUAAAGACAUGGACCAAAGGAUGGAAAGGUUAGAACAGUUCCAAAAAGAAAUGCAGUAUCAACUUCAAUAACAAAUGAAUGAACAACUUGAGAAAAUUCAGCAAAAAAUGAUGGACAAAAUGAUGGAAUCUCAAGAGAGUAUGAUGGCUCAAUUAACUCAGUUGUUGACCAGAGGAACUAAUAAAGGAAAAGGCUCUGUGCUCAAUAUGGAAGAAGGAGACAGUGAGGGACUUCUUUAUCCUCCAGGCUUGACCCCUCAGCAUGGGCAGACCCAAGUAGAGGUAUAUCCGCACAAAUCCUCUAUCACCAUCAAGCCUCAGCAGUUUCAGGCCGGUGCUGUAACACCAAUGAAUUUUCCAGCUAGAUCAGGCCCUAACCCCAGAGACGACCUUGUUAAUCCUGAUAUCCCUGACUUCGAUGAAACAGCUGAAAAAGAGAAAAUGAAUGGUGAAUUGCCAAAACAGCUCGAAGAAAAGUAUAAAUGGCUGGAGGAAAAACUUAGAGUGAUGGAAAGUACUAAGAGCUACCAUGGAAUUGACACUAAAGAAUUGAGCUUGGUUCCGGAUUUAGUACUCCCUUAUAAAUUCAAAAUUCCUGAGUUUGAGAAGUACAAUGGAACUAAUAGCCCCGAAGCUCAUAUUACCAUGUUUUGUAGGCGGAUGACUGGGUAUGUUAAUAAUGACCAACUGCAUAUACAUUGUUUCCAGGAUAGCCUUGCAGGGGCAGCAUCCAAGUGGUACAACCAACUGAGCCGUACCAAGAUUAAUUUAUGGAGAGAUUUAGCAUAGGCAUUCAUAAAGCAGUACAAUCAUGUAACUGACAUGGUACCUGAUAGAAUCACUCUACAGAACAUGAAAAAGAAGCCUGGUGAAAGUUUUAGGCAGUACACACAGAGGUGGAGGAGGUCGCAGUCCAAGUUCAGCCACCGCUUCUGGAAAAGGAAAUGACAAUGCUAUUCAUAAAUACAUUGAAAGCUCCGUUCAUCACACAUAUGUUAGGGAGUGCUACAAAAAGCUUUUAUGGCAUAAUCAUGAAUGGUGAAAUGAUUGAAAGCGCCAUAAGGAGCAGAAAAAUUGAUGCUGGAGGGAAUAACAGAAGGCAAGCCUCAAAAGAAAAAGAAAAUGAGGUGAACAGCGUGAAUACGUACAGAAAAUCGAUUGCUAAUCAGUAGGGUUCAUCAAGACAAGAAUCAUGUGUGAAGCAAGGUACUGAAAAACUCUAGUUCACUCCAAUUCCAAUGUCGUACAAGGAGCUGUAUCAAAGCUUAUUCGAUGCGCAUAUUGUUUCUCCUUUACAUGUGAAGCCUCCACAGCCUCCGUAUCCCAAAUGGUACGACGCAAGUGCACAAUGCGAUUAUCAUGUGGGAAUUACGGGACACUUAAUAGAGAGUUGCAUUACCUUCAAAAAGCUAGUUGAAAAAUUCAUCAACAUGGGUAUCGUCAAGUUGAAUGGCUCAUUUAAUGCAGAAAAUUUACUACCCAAUCAUGAUUGACAAUGGGGUGAAUGCAAUAUAUGAAGAGAUGUUAGGAAGUGUUCACAUCAAUGACAUAUAGGAAUACACAAAUGAAAGGGGGACCUUGUUAGAUAUCCGCCCUUAUAAAUCUGGGAGUGUUUAAAAUAAUUGGAUUGCGGAAGAAAUAUCUAUAGUCUUUAGAGCGUAUUUAGAGUAAUGUUCAGAACAUUCUUGUUGUUUUUAGCCUAAAAAUGAUAGGAAUUCCUUUGUGAAAUAGACUCAUGUCUGAUGAUCAUUAUUAUAAUAAAAUACAUCUUUGUAUUUAUUUUUGAGCCAACAUUCUUUCAUUCUUUGCGAGUAAUUAUUUUGUCAUUCUUUUGGAUUUUCUUCCACAUCAUUCUUUCAUUCAUAAUUAUAUUAAAAAAAUAAUUAUUCGUAAAUUCACACAUUCUUUUGCGCUUACUAUGGGACCCCAAAUAUCAAUGACAUGAGUGACGCUGUACUGACUCAAAAUCUCCUUCUGAGCGAGACAUGUGUUUAAAGGGAUCUCAUGACUUUGAAGAUGACAUAGAUCGUAGCCUAUUUCUGGACCUAUUAAGGAUGGUAGAACAAGUCGAGAAACGAAUCUUACCCUACAAAGAAUCAUUGGGAUAUAUGACUUCUCCUUAUGUGGGGCAUGAAGGUCAUUUGGUCGAUCUCGCCAAAAGAGUCUGACGGUCAUUGAUUCAUCUUUGUGAUCGUCAAUUACUUUACUAAAUGAGGGGAAGCUGCUUUAUAUGUCAAUGUCACAAAGUUGACAGUUAGCAAAUUCUUGAAGAAUCAUAUGGAACGUCAAAAGGAUCAUAUCUGACAAUGUACUAAAUUUGAGCAACAGCACAAUAUCAAAAGUUUGCAGUCUAUUCACGAUUAAUGCCAUAUCACCAAAAAAGAUGGCGCAAAAAAAAGAGAGAAAAGAAGAAAGAAAAUGGAGAGGCCAAAGUGAAAACCCGCAAAGGGCACCUUGAGACCAAAGGGGAUUUGAGUUGAAAACCCGAAACAGGCGGCUCAAAUAUUGAUCAGAAUAGGGCAUGAGGUGAUUAGAGCAACUCGAAUUUUAACCAGAUUGGGGCAUGUGGUGAUCUUGUUAUACCUGAAUUAUCAGGAAAGGGUAGGCAACAUCUUGGGGCAUUGGCAGAGUACUGUGGAUCUCCUAAACACAUGUCAAACUCAGAAGGAUCUUCAAAAAGUUUGUACGGAGAAAUUCAAGCUGCGAUAUCUGGGGCACCCAAUUUUCAUACUAUUGAAUUUGUUAUUCUUAGAAUACUUCAUUCUUUUCAAAGAUACACAUUCCCAAUCAAUUUCUUUGUUAUCCUUUUUACUAUUUUUGAUAAUUUAUUCCUUUCGAGCUAUGCUCAGAACUAAUUUUAUUCUUAUCCAUUGUUAUGACCUUUUUGCAUGCAUAUUGCAUUGGAAUAAUGAUCAAUGGACUAAUAAAACUUUCACAAGGGAAGUUUUGCAUAUUACUCUAGAAGUUUCUAAAUAAUAUAGGAGCCUGAAACAGGACUAUUAUUUAGAACGCACUAGGUUUAAAGGUUGGAAAUCUAAAAAGGAAGAGUCUAAACUAGGACUUUCUCUUUGGAUUUUGUUGUCAAAAAUCAUUAGUUGAACAAAAUAAUAAGAUGUCGUGUUGAUGACAAAGCUUAAAUCAACAAGCAAGUAAUGAUCACCAGGCAAUAGAAAGAGGUUACCUCGGGGAAGAGAGCCCUCAUUUGCUCAUGAGCCUUUGGUACGACACCCUAGGAAUGGUGUAAGAGACAAGAAAGAUUUAGAUCCUGUAUCCUUGAAUUGUGAUAGGAGAGGAUUGAAGAAAAGCCAUAUACCCUUGGGUUACAGUGGGAGAACGAUGGUAUGAAUUUUUGCGCCCCAAUGGAUUAAACUUUGAGGUUUACAGUGGGGGCAACCUGACUAAAUGUUUCUUCAGAAAAGCCAGCCAAGCAAGAAGGCAUUGUAGCACGUUAGUGUUAAAGCCUUAAUAAUCUUCGAACAAUGACAACCUAGGUGGGAUCAUUCUCGAAAAAAAAACUAUGCAUUCAUGCAAACACCAUUCACAGAUGUCUAGUUAGGAGCAUUUGAUUCAUUUUAUGCCAUCCUAAUCAUUAGGCAUAAAUAGGUUCAUUAUACAGGUCAUGUUCCCCAGAGAGCAGAUCAGUAAAAAUAGCAGAUCUUGCCUUCCUACACCGACAGUGAAACAGAUCAAAGACACCAGCCAUGCCUCCCUGGGUUGCAGUGGAGUAGGUUAAAAAUAGCAGAUCUUGCCUUCAUGCACCGACAGCGAAGCAGAUCGAAGAGACCAGCCUUGCCUCCCUGGGUUGCAGCGGAGCAGGUUAAAAUAGCAGAUCUUCCCUUCCUGCACUGACAGCGAAGUAGAUUGAAAACACCAGCCUUGCCUCCUUGGGUUGCAGUGGAGCAGGUUAAAAAUAGUAGAUCUUGCCUUCCUGCACCGACAGCGAAGCAGAUCGAAGACACCAACCUUGCCCCCUAGGUUGCAGUGGAGCAGGUUAAAAAUAGCAGAUCUUGCCUUCCUGCACCGACAGCGAAAUCGAAGACACCAGCCUUGCCUCCCUGGGUUGCAGCGUAGCAGGUUAAAAAUAGCAUAUCUUACCUUCUUGCACCGACAGCGAAGCAGAUCGAUGACCCCAGCCCUAUUUCCCUGGUCAGCAGGGGAAUAAGUUGAAGAUUGAGAAUCUUAUCUCCCUGAAGUUGCAGUGGAGUAGAUUAAAGCCAAUAAUCCUAUCUCCUUAAAUUUGUAGUGGAGCGGAUUAAAACCACAGAUCUUAUCUCUCUAAAGUUGCAGAGAGCAGAUCGCAUCUGGUCUUAUCUCCCAAAAGUUGCAGUAGAGCAGACUGAGUAAGAAAGUCUUAUCCCCCUGAAAUUGCAGUGGGGCAGACUAAAUGAACAAAUCUUAUCUCCCUAAAGUUGUAGUGGAGUGGAUUAGAAUGAUGGGUCUUAUCUCUCUGAAGUUGCAACAGAGCAGAUCACAUCAAAUUCAUCUUUAAGUGACAGCAGAUCAAGUUGAAGCUAUAAGUCUUAUCUCCCUGAAGUUGCAGUGGAGUAGAUUGAAGCACUAGUUCCUAUACCUUUGAAGAUGCAGUAUGAAGGAAUGAGGCUACUUGAAGAAGAAGACUACCUAGGUCCAGCACGAUCGGGUAAAAUUGGGCAUUUUUAAAGUCUUUACUCCAUUCCUGUUACACGAUAACGAGUAAAGAGGGGCAGCUGUAAUACCCAAAUUUUACCGAGCCUACAAAAACAGUCCAAAUUACAAUGGGCUUAUGUGGCCCAAAACCCGAAUGAACAGAGGCCCAAAACAAUGGCCCAAAAUAAUGUCAGAAACUCCUAGGGUUUCUGAGGAAACUUUUGCGCCCAGCCACCAAGCACCACGAGCUGAAAUCUUCACCUGCACAAAAACAACAGAAAUGGCAAGAAAAUCAAAGAUUGCGAAUCAAAUAUGAGCAAGAUUUGAUUCUUUUUAUUAUUAUUUUCAUUAUGGCUAUAAAAUAGCCAUUGAUAUGCUGUAAAAAAGAGGGGGAAGACCGAAAGAAAUACAAAGACCAAUAGGAAAUUUUCUUUUUUUGAAAUACAAAGGUUUUCUUUUCUGUUUUACCUCAUUGUCGAUUAUUGUUCUUUUAUUUUUUCAUUUAUACAUAUACAUAUUUGAUUUUUUUAUAGUUUCUUUAUUUUUUAUUUAUUUUUGCUUAAAAUAUAAAGAAAAGAGGAGAGAUUUUACCUUUUUUUCGUCGAAGUCGUCGAAUGGUGGCCAUCUCCGUCGCGAUCGGAGUGUUGGCACAGGCGAACGAUGGCGCAAAAGGGGUUAAGAAAAAACCCUAGCAGAGCAUUUGUGUUUUUUUGUUUUUUUUAAUCUGGCUUAUUGAUUUUUAUUUUUUAAAAAAAGAAUUUUCGUUUAAAUAACAUUAACAAAACGGCGCCGUUUUAGGGGAGCAGGAUCUGCGCGUUGACCCAACCCGCAGGCAGGGUCCACACGUUCUGGCCUUGAAUUGGGUAUUUGUGCAUUUAGUCCCUCCUCUUUGCGACGUGCUUCAAUCAAACCCAUUUUUCUUUUUUUUUUUUAAAUUUAGCCGCAUAUUUCAUUUUUGUUUCAAUCUGGUCCGUCACUGCGCAGCGUUUUAGAAGGCGGGAUUAAUUUCCCUUUUGGUCCUCUAUUGUUGCUUGCGCAUUCAAGUUGGUCCCUUCUUUAUAUUUAUUGCUAAUCUGCCCCAUUUUUUCGCUUUUAGUUCAGUUUAGUCCAUUUUUUUAGCUAUUUCAUUAUUUAGUUAUUUUUUUAUUUUUUUGUUAUUGUUAUUAUUAUUAUUUCUAUACUUAUUAUUUCUAUAUUUAUACACGCAUUUUUUUAUAGUAUAUAUAUAUAUAUGCAUUUUUUAUAUAUAAUAUAUAUUUUUUAACUUUUAUAAAUACAUGCAUAUACUUCAUACAUAUUUGUUUAUUAUUAUUUUGAUUUCAAAACUUUUAUAUACUUUAUAUUUUAUAUAUAUACAUAUACAUUUUAUAACACAUAUACAUUUUCCACGUUUUAUAAUUUAAAAUACACAUACAUUUUCUAUAAUAUAUUUAUGUAUACGUUUUUAUUCUUUAUAUUUUUUUUUUGGUUUAUUUCCUUCGUCUAUUCAUUGAUUUAGGUUUUCAUUUACAUUUUAAAAGAAUGUCCUUUUUUUUAUUUUGCUUAUUCAUUUUAUAUUUUUGCAUUGUCAUUGUUUAUUUUUUUACUUUAUAUUAAUUUCGUUUAUUUACUAUUAUAUUAUUUCUAUACAAUUGUCGUAUUUAUUAUUGCGACAUUUAUACAUACAUUCCAUAUAACAUUACAUCAUCUUUUACUCGAAUUUAAAAAUAGAAAAUUUUCAAAAUAGAGAUAAUACUCGUAUUUAGGAUUUUUAAGAAAAUUGAGCCCUAACGUAUUGGGUUCCGAUUUUCUUCGUUAAAUCUAACAAUCGAGAAUUGCUCUUUGAUCAAAAAUAAAAUAAAAACUUGUCAUCGGGAAUUCAAUAUGUUGUGUCCUAACGUAUUGGAUAUGACGCGUUGAUUUCUCGAGAUAAAGAUUUUCUAAAAAAUAAAGGAAAUAUUCAAUGUUUGGGAUUUUAAGAAAUCGUGCCCUAACGUAUUGGGCUGCGAUUUCUUCAUAAAUUUUAAACAAUUAAAUAUUUUCUUAAAUUUUAUUACACGAGUUUUUUGGACCAACUCAUCUUAAAAAGAACAAAAUAUUGUGCCCUAACUCAUUGGGUGUGAUAUUUUCUUUUUUCAAAAUGAGAAAGUCUUAAUAAAUAAUUUAAUUUAACUAAGGAUCGUAUUUAUUAACUCUCGACAUUAAGACACUGAUUAAUCAACUCAGUACCAAUUUUUGGGUGUUACGAGGGUGCUAAUCCUUCCUCGCACGUAACUGACUCCCGAACCUGUUUUUUAAAACUCGUAGGCCAAAGUCAUUUUUAGGUGAUCCAAUCACACCUUAAUAAAAGAUUGGUGGCGACUCCAAUUUUCAUCGACAACUAAUUUUUGUUUUUUUCAAAAUAAAAAUGGUUUCGACACAAGUAAUAGUAAGUUUCAUACAAGGUUCAAAGGCAAUUAAAUGACUUGUAAGUUUGUUGAACUUCUUUGAAAGGCCCAAAGGCAAUUGAACAUUUACAAAAUAGUCUCUAUAUACUGUAGAGACAAAUCAAAUCCAUGGGAGCAUUACAGUUAGUUAAAUUGAGCAUUGGCAGAAAUUCCAUCAUAGGAAAUAUUGGCAAAAUCGUCUAUUUAAUUAGAAAAACAACAUAAUUCAUGAAACAUAGAUAGCCCAAUAUAAAUGUCAUCGAGAAAAAAAGUCUGUUUGUUUUAUAGCACAUGAUAGUAAAGCAUGCGAAGUUUCAUUCUUCUUAUUGGCCUCCUUUAGUUUUCCUUGAUCAUCAACCACUAGCCAAAAACACAAUUAGAUUAGAUUAUAAAUGAAACAUUCAAUUAUGAUAAAAUUAAAUAGAAAACACCCUAAAUAACUCUAGAUAAAUGAAUAGUAGCAAAUUACCUGGUGAGGCAAGCUAGCUCAAUUAAGAUCAUUGUGUUAGACUUGUGUAUGCAUUAAACAAUCUAAAAGAAAAUGAAGGAAAAGACUUAGAAAACACUUGAAAAUUGACAAAAUUUAUAUGCCAUUGACUGGUUAAACUAUGAUCACCCAUAACAGACCUUGUAUUGGAGUUUUUGUUGAGGGAGAUCAAGUCCUUCAAGAAAAGUCUUUUAAGUGUUGUUUGUUACGUAAUCGCUGCUACCCUCAACAAAAGGUAUUGUCCUCAUGUCAAGAUUUUAUCCUCAGCCUUUAUGGAAUAAUCAUGGAGAUUACAUGUGCAAGGAUUCAAACCACCAACCAAUGCAUAUGUAGUAUUUACUUUGGAACCAUCUCCGUGAACCCACGAGGUUCUUUGCAGAAUCAAGAGACAAAACCCCAACACAAGAAUAAUACCAUCUAUUGAGGGUCCUUUAACACAACAAAUGAAAUUCAUACAUUUAUUUAAUAAAAGUAAAUAUCAUAUUUAAUUGGGGAAAAGCAACAAAAAAUCCAACAAUAAAAUCCUUAGCAAAAGAUUAAAACACAGUUAUAUCGUAAAUGACAUAAGAAACUAAGAAAAUCCAAUCUGACAAAGAAAAUAACUUGAUGCUCCAAAGCUACCAUAUACCGUAAUUCAUGGGAAGGUCUGAUGCUCAUUUUAUUGGUUUCCAUCUUGAUUUUGCAAAAGAAGUUUGAAUUUUGAAGAGAGCAAAAGAUUGAGCGAAAGAAAAAAAAUUAGUUUAUUAAUUUUCACAAUUUAUAAGACAAACCUUAUGGAGACAAAUAAUGACAUAUUAGAUAUUUGUGAUUAAAAUUCUAGAAUAGAUUUAAAAUGUUGAAUUAAUGAUGAAAUUAAUAGUGAAUUAAUAACAACAAGCGUACUGAUUACUUAGCUUCUUUGUUAAACAUGUUCGAUGUUGUUUAACAGCCUUUGUUUGAUUUUCUUUAGCUCAACCACAACAUCUUUCAUAUCUUUUCUUUCUUCUGGUAACUCAGCUGAACAAUUCAAAGCCAACUCCAUGAUGGAUGAAAUACAAUUUGCUUUAACAACAAAGUACUCAUCCUUUCUUCUUAGUAAAUCAACAUCUGCAAUUUCUAUCGCUCCUUUAGGCAACGAACUUUCCAUCCAAUGCGUUAUAGUCAUUUCUUCAGCAAAAAAUUUAUCAGUUGGCUUUUUCUUUGUAAAAGUUUCUAUAAGGAUGAUCCCAUAACUAUAGACGUCACAUUUUAUACAAACAAUUCCUGUUGAUCCAAAUUCUGCAUUUCAAGUAUAAUUAGAACAUCAUCAAUCCUUAAUUAGUUCUAAAAUGCUUAUUCAAAUAUAUAUCCAUAUAUGCAUGAAACAAAAGUAUAAAAUGCAAAUUAGGAAAAUAAUGAUACAAAAAAAAAAUUCACCUGGUGCCAUAUACCCGAUAGAUGCAAGAGUCAUGGUUUGCUUUAUUACAUCACCUUCUCCCAACAAUUUGGCACAACAAAAUCUCCCACAUGUGCAACCAUGUCUUUAUCUAGUUGUAAUAGCCCAUUUUGCCCGGGGCCCAAUAAAACCCAAAACAAACCAAAAUAAUAAAACAUUCACAGUCCAUUUACAAUAAAUAAACACACUACCCAUAUCAAGCCCAAUUAAACCCAAAUCUCAAAGCCCAAAACAAAACAACACAACCCGAGCCCAUAAACUAAAAAUUUUCAGCACAAAAAACCCUAGCCCUAAGCCUCCAGUGCCGCAUGUGCUCCACCGCCGCCGCUCGCCUAUCACCGGCCAUCCACGCGUCUGGCACCACCUGCAAGAGCAAACAACACGCAAAAGAAGAGGCCAACCAGUAACAGACAAGAACAAAGAAAUGAAACAAAUUUUGUAAUUUUGGCUAUAAAAGCCCGAAUAUAUCUUUGUAAUUUCUUCUUCCGUUUUACGAACAUCUAGUAAAAAAAAGAAGAAAAGCAGAGAACAGAUUUUCGAGAGGUGAAACCUUUUUUUCGGUUCUUUUUUUUCAUUAUAUUUUAUUUUUUUAUUUUCAUUUUUUAUAUCAAACAAUGAAAUAAAAAAAAGGAGAAAGAAAUGUAGCAGAAUCGACCCUUAGCCCCGCCGUCGGUGGUCUUUUCCCCGGCAUCGAAAUUGGCGAGAAAUGAGGCAAAGGUCGAAUCUUUUUCAUUUUUCUUUACUUUUCAGUCAUUUUCCUUGUAGAUCUAAAAUCUACGCUUAAAACGGGCUAAAAAUAAAAAGUUUUGGGUUCUCCGGUCACCGUGGGCUGCGACACCGUCGCCGACGAUCGGCGGCCGCCACGGGGGUCAACGGCCGGCCCUUUGCCCGGAAUCGAAGAGAAAUUUUAAGAGAAAAGGGAGCUUUGGAAAUUUUUUAAAGCAAAUGGCUGAAAUGGGGUUUCAAAAAAAUGUUGGCUUUUAUAAUACUAUUAAACGGCGUUGUUUUGCAACUGAAGGUCAGGUGCCAAAACGACGUCGUUUUGGCCCUUACCCGCUCGCGCUCCCGACCCGCUCCUGGGGGAUCCGCGUGUUUUUGGCGUUUGGGCUAUUUGCACUGCGGAUCCUUCUGCAUUUCGCCCAGUUUAUGAUUUAGUCCCUUUCGUUAGAUUUCUUUUAUUUUUAAUUUCGCCUUGAAAUUUUGUUCUGAUUUUAUCGGAGUCCCGCAAAGUGCUGCGUUUUGGAGGGCAGGGAUAUUUUCCCCUUUGGUCCCUCCUUGUUAUUCACGCACUCGAUUUGGUCCCUUUCUUUUAUUCAUUUGCGAAUUUGCCCCCAUAUUUCUGUGUUAAGUUCAAAUUAGUCUCUUUUUUAUUUAUUUUUGCUAUUAAAUUAAUUAAUUUUGAUAAUAUUAUCAUUAUUAUUAUUAUUAUUAUUAUUAUUAUUAUUGCUAUUAUUAUCUUCGUAUUAUUAUUAUUGUUUGCUUUAUUAUUAGUAUUAUUAUUAUUUUCAUUAUUACUAAUAUUAUUAUUUUUAUUUUACUACUCUUAUUAUUAUAUAUUGUUAUUAUUUUUAAAUUGUUUUACCUAAUAUUCCCUCGUUUAUUAUUUAUAUUCACUCGUUCAAAUUUUCAAUCAUUUUCAAUUAGUUACUUCUUUUUUUAAAUCAGUUUGUUUUAUUUUUUAUUUUCAUUUUAUUAUUUCAUUAUUUUAUUGUUUUUAUUAUUUAUAUUAUUUUUGUUUUUACUCUUAUUAUUCCUUUUUAUUUUGGUUUAUUUCAUUUCAACUUUUGCGCUCAAAUUUUUUUUGUUAUUUCGUCAUCUAUUUAUUUUCGUAUUUAUAUUUUGUUAUACAUACAUUCAAAUCUCAACUAUUCAUUAUCAUUAUUAAUUUUAUUAUUAUUGUUAUUUAUAUUUAUUAUUGACAUCCUCAUCAUGUUGUUGCACACAUUAGCAUUGUAAUCCAUUUUACAUUUUACUAUAAAAUCGCGUUAUGUUAACCUUCAUCCAAUACAUUUUAUAUUAAGCAAUUUUGUAACUCAAAAUUCCAGAAAUCGUACCCUAACUUACUGGGUUUCGAUUUUCCUCGACGAGUCUAAAGAACCAAUCCUUUUUUUAAAAAAUCAAAGCAUAAGUUAAAUAAAAACUUAUCCUCAGGAGUUCAAAAUGUUGUGUCCUAACUCACUGGAUGUGACAUUUUGUUAUCUCAAGGUAAAGAUUUCUAGAAACACAAAGGCAAUAUUUUGAAUUUGGAAAUUCGAGAAAGUGUGCCCUAACGUGCUGGGUUUCAAUUUCUCGUUUGACCAAAUAGCCAAAUAUCCUCUUAAAACUUCAAAGUAUGGGUUUUUCAAACCAUAAGGUGAUCUUUGUUUCGAUGGUUUAAAGUAUCGUGUCCUAACGUGCUGGAUGUGAUAUUCCUUCGGAAUAAGAGAAUCUUAAAUUUCAAUCCAUGUUAUUCAAAUUUUUUUUAAGGAUUGUAUAUUUUUUUAAACUCUUCAAAGUUUUCAAUCUUCGACAUUAAGACACUAAUUAAUCAACUAGGUACCAAUUUUUGGGCAUUACGAGGGUGCUAAUCCUUUCUCGUACGUAACCGACUCCCGAACCUGUUUCUUUGAAUUUCGCAGACCAAAAGAAUUGUUUUAAUAAAUCUAAAUUGUUUAUUAAAAACAAUCGUUUUACGAGGUGACCCGAUCACACCUCAUCAAAAAAGAUUGGUGGCGACUCCCGUGUUUAUUAUCAUUUUCAAAACCCAAGUCGACCCCGUUUUCACAAAAAAAAUGGUGCCAACACUAGUAAAAUAUUGCUUGGUUUUAAGUCACAAUGAAUUACAGAUGUUGGAUGUCCAUUGUGGAGAUGUUCUAUAGCUACCGCAACAUCUAUCAUUAUGUCGACCCUUUGUAUGAUAUCAAGGAAGCAAAUUUCGGAAUGUAACCAUUUCUCAAGGUUUCCAUUAGACAUGUUAUCAAGCACCAAGGCUUUAAAGUCAACACUUGAGCAGCAAGUAAUGACCUUCACAAUAUUACGAUGAACUAUAUUACGCAUAGCAUCACAUUCAAUGUCAACACUCCUAAAUGCUCCCUCUGUUUGCAAAUUAAAAACUUUUAUUGCAACUUCCAUUCCAUCUGAAAGCCUCUCUUUAUAUACAUAUCCAAAACUCCUUGAACCAAGCAUAUUGUUUUCCUCAAAUCCAUUAGUUACUUGUGAAAGUUCAGCAUGUGAAAUUCUUCUCAGCGUUUUCAAAGACAACAAAUCAUCCUUACUUGGUAGAGUUGUACUCCUACUUUGGCAUCUUCUAUACAUAAUAGUUAAGACUAUUAGUAAUACGACAAUACCAAUUGUUGGUAAACCAUACCUUAAAACAUGCAAUAUAUUCAUUUGGGAGUUUUCUUGGAUGUCGUUUUUGCAAGGGGGGACUAGCAAUCUAGGUGGACCACAAAGUGCAAAAUUCUUCAUGAAUGAUCUACUAGAAAAGUUUGGAAAACAUCCUUCGGUGGGAAUUUCCCCUUCAAGUCUAUUGAAAGACACAAUAAAAUACUUUAGAUCUAAAAGAUUUUUCGAAGAUUUGGGAAUGGCUCCAGAGAGAUUGUUAUUGCAUAAAUUCAAGAAUUCCAAACUAAUCAAACCAUCUAAUGAUCCAGGGAUAUGACCAUGUAGUAUAUUAUUUAAUAAAUCUAAUGAAAUCAAAGUUUGAAGACCCCCAAAUGUGAAUAAGAUAUCGCCUGUGAGAAUAUUCCUUGAUAUAUUUAGUUUCAAUAAACUCCUCAAAUUUCCAACAUCAAUAGCAUGUGAAUUGUGAAGAUGGUUUGAUGAUAAAUCUCUUUCUAAGAUAUCUUUAAGAUUCCACAAAGUUGAGGGUAUUGCAGAACUCAAUUUGUUGGAAUUUAAGUAAAGAUAUCUUAAAGAAGUACUAUAACCCAAACAAGAGGGUAUGGAUCCAUGCAAGUUAUUCAACCCUAAAUACAUCUCGUAUAGUCUCUCCAAACCACAAAGGCUUUUUGAGAUUGGUCCUAAUUUAUUCGAGUGAAAAGUUAGACUUUGGAGAUUUCUCAUUCCUCCUAUUGAUGCUGGAAUAGAUCCACUUAAUUUAUUAUACCCAAGUUGUAAAAGCAAUAGGUUGUUUAAGUUACCUAUUUCCAUAGGACUAUUGCCUUUAAGCUCACAAUUAUUGGCAAAAAAGUAUUGAAGGGAUUUUGAAAGGUUCCCGAUAUAAGUAGGAAGAACAUCACUCAAUGGAUUUCCUGAAACAACUAUUCUUCUCAAAUGCCUGCAAUUUGCCAAAGAAGAAAGAAAGGUCCACUCAUGAUCAAUAGCAGAUCCUGUGAUCAAAUUAUUAUUUAUGAUUCGGAGCACUUCAAGGUGUCUUAAGUUGCCAAGCGUUUUAGGAAUUGGGCCAGAGAAUAAGUUAUCUUCCAAGGCUAGAUUCUUAAGCAUGGAAGCAUUGGAGAUAGAGCCGGUAAUGUUUCCGCUAAAUUUAUUUCCCCACAAUACAAGAUUCUCAAGUUUUGGAGCAUUGGUAAGGGUGGUAGAGUACCUGUAAGAUAGCAUCUUUUAAUAUACAUAGCCAUUGGAUACCAAAUUCACAAAACAUAUAAUACAUUAAAAUACAUUUUUAAAAUAAAAAUUGUAAACCUUUAAAUCAAAUAAAAAUAUAAUUUUGGCCUGGAAAAAUGUGAUCAAAUCAAUUAGUCCCUUGUGAUUUGUAUAAACAAAAAAAUAAAAUAAAACCAUUCCAUACCAGUAUUGUAUUUGAUUUAAUGAUAGAGUUGUAAGUUACUUGUAAAAGUUACAUGCUCUAGCAUAUAAAUUUUGUCCAAGCCUUGGGUUGAAAUCAUCGUUACUUUUUUAGAUCUAAAAUUGAUUGAAUAUCAAAUUUGUAAAAUACUGUAAAAUUUUGAAUCAAAUAAAAACAAAACUUUGACAUGAAAAUGUGGCAUCUAAUCAAUUUUAAAAAUGACAUUGACACUGAAUACGAAAUUAUGAAUAAAAAUUAGUUAUGGUUUGGGAAACAAAAAUAUUAAAUUAUUCUGUAUGAUUUGGUAUUAGUUAUUAUUUUGAAUAAUAUUGUUAAUUUUUAAUUACAUAAAACUAUUGUAUGUUAAAUAUGGUUUUAAUUAUGCCUUGAAAUUUUAUUAUUAUAUUUCAACUACCAUAUAAUAUUUUAAUUAUGUUUAGCCAUUUGAAUAACAAACCAAAAAACUAAUUAAAAACUAAUUACUUCUUUAAGUAUAAUGGAAAUUAAAAGUUUUCAAUUCAUAUAAAUUUUAUUGUUUAUUAUCAAAUUAAUACAUUUUAAUAGAUGAUAAAAUAUAUGAGCAAAAAAGAAGAAACAAUUAAAGAGAAUGUUUUUGGAGUUUGGAAAAAAUUAAAGUGAAAAACAUACCUUCUAAUUUGUUGUCACAUAGAUCUAUUUCUUCGAGCGUAGUUGAAUAAAAAACACUUUCCGGAAUCAGCUCACUGAAUUGAUUUGCUGCUACGAAUUCUAAAGCUUGUAACAUUCACUUAUACUAGAUGGAAUGUUACAGAUAAUUCAUUUGUAUCCAAGUAAAGCCCCUCAAACUUGGGAAGAUGUUGACACAUAUCAUUAAGUAAACUACCUGAUAGGCUAUUGCAGGAGAGAUUAAUAGUCUUCAGAGAAGAAAUAUUGAAGAUAGAAGACGGAAUCUGACCUGUAAGGUAUUUAAUUACUGUAAUACUAAGCAUUUUCAAACAUUACUAAUAUAAAUAGUUCAUGGAAGUAAGAAAGUGUGCAUAAUAAAACCAAAUUGUAUAAAAAAUUUAAAAAAUUUUGAUUAAUCAAUAAAUUUAAGAUUUUAUAUAUUGAAGUGGGUUCAAAUCUCACUAUUAUUUUUUGUUUUGUUUUUUUUUUAAAAACCAAAGUACCUCAAAUAAUGUAACUAAUUUUAAAUACGAAAAGUUAUUUUUGAAAUUUCUCUAAUCGAGUUGGUGCUCAUUGACUCGUAACACAAUCCUAAUCAGAUACUUAAAUAACAAUAUAGAUAUUCACAUUCACCAAAAAAGUUCAAAAAAAUUGUUACUUUAGUUUCAAAUAACAAAUUUUAAUUAUUUAUAUAACAAGUAACUUUAUAAUUCAUGUAUAAAUUUGACUAUUAAGAAAAGAAAAAAUGAAAUUAAAUAAUGAAUAAUUUAAUUGAAAAUAUAUCAAUUUUUAUAUUUUCUACAUAUGCUUUAAUGAUGAUGGAUUUUUUUUAUUAUCACUAUUUUUGAAUUAAAAGAAUUUAUUAAUAUAAUUUAAUUAUAUUUUGAAUAAUGUUACUCUUUUUUAAUGACAUGAAGUAAAAUCAUAUUAUAUAUUAAAGAGGGUACAUAUGCUUUAAUUAUAGCUUGAAAUUUUAUUAUUACAUUUGAGUUAUUAAAUAAAUUAAUAUAUUUUAAUUAUAUUCAGCCAUUUGAAUAACUAAUUAGAAUAAUUUUAAAAAACAUUAUUUAAAAGCUAUGUAUAUAAAUGUAUAUGUAUAUAUAUGGUUGUUUCAUAUUUUUAAAAUAAAUAUAUUUUCAAUGUUGGUUUCUUUUCUUCCACACACAAAGUAUUUCUAAUGUUUUUUUUUUAUAACUUUUACUUAUAUAAAAUAGAUUAGUUAAUGCAAUAACAAAUUAAUUACUUUUUUUAAACUUAAUGGAAAUUAAAAUAAAUAAAUUCAUAUAAAUCUUAUUGUUUAUUAUCAAAUUAAUAGAUGAUAAAGUAUAUGACAAAAAGAAAAGGACAAAUUAAAUUCAAUAGAAUGUUUUUGGACUUGUGGAAAAUUUUAAAGUGAAAAACAUACCUUCUAAUUUGUUGUCAAAUAGAUAUAUUUCUUCGAGAAUAGUUGAAUUAAAAAUACUUUUUGGAAUCAGCCCACUGAAUUGAGUUGUUGCUAAAUUCAAAACCUGAAGCUUGUUACAUUCACCUAUACUUGAUGGAAUCUGACCUGCACACAUACUUGACAUAAGUCAAAGAGGUUUUCUUUUCUAUAAUUUGGAGAUGUUAUAUUUUAAUAUAUUUAAUCAUAUUUUUUCUUCAAAUUAACUAUUUUGAUUUUAAUGAAAUAAAAAGCUCUUACUUUUUCUUUUAUAAAAAAAAAAUACUUUAAACUAAAGAAACCAAAGAAAUUUAGUACCUUCUAGAUUAUUAAACACCAAAUAUAAAUGUCUAAGUCGUGUCAAGUUUCCAAUACUUCUUGGAAUGAUACCUGUGAAUUGAUUAAUGGACAGUGACAAAAUUUGAAGGUUGCAUUUGUCUAUACUUAAUGGAAUGUUACCAGAUAAUUCAUUCAAACUCAAGUGAAGCCCUUCAAGCUUAGGAAGAUGUUGACACAUAUUAUCAGGUAAUCUACCUGAUAGGAUCAAUAGCCUUCAGAGAAGAAAUGUUGAAGAUAGAAGAUGGAACCUAGACAGAUAAUUGAUUGAAUUCCAAGUUCAAGAUCUCUAGAUUGGACAUGUUAACAAGUGUUUGAUGGAUUGUGCCUGUAAAGUUAUUAUUUUUCAUUUCCAGCCUUUGGACUCUGUGUAAGUUCCCAAGCCAUGAUGGAAUUUCCCCAUUAAGACCAUUGUAGCUUAAUUGGAUGAUCCUCAAACGGUGCAACUGGCCCAAUUCUUUAGGCAGAUGGCCAUAGAAAUUGUUGCUACUCAAGUCGAGAGAGAGUAGGAAUGAAAGUUUUCCAAGUUGUGAAGGGAUAGUACCUCGAAGAUUCAUGUUUGUAAGAUUCAAAGCUACAACUCUUUCAUGGAUGAUGCCACAAGAAACACCAAUCCACCUGCAAACAGAGCUAGAGGCUAUCCAAUUGUUUUCCAAGACAUUGUGAGGAUCGACUCGAUCCUUAUACUCGAGGAGUGCAAACUAAUCGGUGGUGAGAUUCCUGGCUGUCAUAGCCAAACAAAGUACGGAACAUGGUACGAAUAGAGCUAAAAGAAGAUGAAAGCAAGUGGUGUAGUUUAUGAUUGCAAGACGGAAUAAGGCAAGAAAAUAAAAGAGUAGGAAAAGGGAAAUUGAAAUGAUAAAAUAGUUGGAUGAUGAAGAAAAGCCCAGAGAGCCUGCUUUAAUAUGUUUCAACCCUCCCACACUUCUCCUAAUUAAAUUCACUCGGCUGGGGUUACAACAUUAAUUUUCAAAAUAAAUGUCAAGUCUUCUUUUAAAACACAUCCAAAGAAGCGAAUUUUCUCCAAAAUUUCUUCACAUUACUCCACAUAAUCCAUAACAAAAUUAAUAAAAUAUAAUUUUUUAAUUACUAUAUAUUCUUUUAUUUUCUUCACAAUAAUAAGUUGGUUAAAUAUGCUAUUAAUCCCUGUACUUUUUAGAAUUUGAGAUUUAGUCCUUAUACUUUAAAAGUUAAAAAUUAAUUCAAAGAUAUUCUUUUUUCUAAACUGAGUGAAUUCACAAGCUUUGUUUUCCUUUAACAAAUAUUUUUGGUAUUUUCGUGGAUAUGAGGAGAUACUGAAAAUUAUUUUACUAUGAACUUUUAAUUCACUCAAAAAAAUAAGUGUUUUAUUUCAAGGGAACACAAUUAAACAUUAGAUUUCCCAUUUUUAUGUUUUGAAUAUUUUUGACAACUGCAUAAUCAACAAAGUAUCAAUUUUGGGCGUUGUGAGAGUUUUAUAACCUUCCAUAUGUGUAAUCGAUUUUUGAACCCACUUUUUAUUUUAGAAUUCAGGACAUACCUUAAAUUUUUCUUUUUAUAAGUUAUUUAAAAUCUAUUUGUAAAAAGCGAAUUUUUAAGUGACCGAUCACGCUUAACAAAAAUGAUUGGUGGCGACAAGUCCUUUUUGAUAAAAUCUUGUUCUUGGAAAGACCAAAGUUUUCAUUUUUUUAAGAAGUUUUCAAUUUAAUUUUCUUUUUGAAUUUUUAUUUUUAACCAGAAAAUGGUCCUUACAGUUAUUAUUUAUUUCCCAAUUUUUAAUGGUUUUUUUCAAGGAGAUGAAUAGUGGGAUGAAAAUUUUUGGUUAAGGUAAACUCAUUAUGUAUAGUUGAUUCUUUUUUGAUCCUUCAAUUAUUAAUUUUUUUGAUUUAAUUACAUAUUUUUUUAAAAAAAAAUUAACACUCUCUUAGUUGCCUCUUAAUUGAGGGACAAAAAACUUAGACAUUUUUUAAUCACAAUUAAUUUAAUUGCGUUUAGGAUCACAUAAUUUUCUUUUAUUCUUUUUAAAUUAUAAACUGUUUCAAAAAUUCCGUCAAUAGCUUAAGUGAAAUUAUCCUUUUUUGAAAUAUCAAUUUCACUUAAGCUAUUGACUUAAUUUUCAGCUAUUAGUCUUUUUUCCAAUCAAAUUGACUCUUAGCAGAAAUGCAAACUGCGCAAAAGAGUGUAAACAAAGAAGUUGAAUUUAAUUAUUUUCUGAGUCUAGUUUCAAAAGACAUAAUUAAUAAUAAACUUAUAACUAGCCUUAUUUAUUUAACAUGUUAAGAAACCUUUGCUUCAUUUUCUUGAACUCAACCACAACAUUCUUCCUAGCUUUUCUUUUUUGACGUAAUUCAGUUCAACAUUUCAAAAGAAAUUCCAUAAUCGAUGAAAUACAAUUUGCUUUAACAAUAAAUCUGCAUCCUCAAAGUCUAGUAGUCCUUCCAACAAUGAGCUUUGUAGGGCCCAACUUCUGCCCCGGGCCCAAAUAAUAAAAACCAAAAAUAAUCCAAAGUUAAACAGUCCAGUUACAUUAAACCCAAAUACAAGCCCAACUACCCAAACCCUAAGCCCAAACCUAAUAGCCCACAACAAACUUUCAAUAGCAGCAAAACGUGCAACACGCAACAAAAAGAAGCAACCAAAUCGCAAAACAACAAAAAACAGGCAUCAAAGAGUUGUUUAGAUCGGCUAUAAAGCCAAAAAUCAGAGACUUGUAGUUUUUCGGCUUCCUUUUUUAACACACAUCAGAAAUAAAAGAUCAUAUAAACUUCUAAAAGGUUGCUGUUCUUUCUUUGUUUUUCUUUUUAUUUCACUUAUUUUAUUUAUUUUUUUUACUGAUCCUUUUUUACAAAUAAAAAACGAUUAAUAAAAGAAAAACAAGAAAGGAAGAGAAGGGGAAUAGCUAGAAUCACCCGCAAGUCCCAUUGCCGGAGCCCUUUUGCGGCCACCGGAGUCGUGCUGGGAGGGUGCGGGGUCUCCUUUUCCUCUGGUCUUUGGGCCAAGAAAGGCACCGUCACCAAAAGGCCUUUUAAAUCGGUUUAAAAUAGACCUUCGGGUCGCAGGCCACCGCCCGCGGCGGAUCUAUGGCGGCGCGAGUGACGGCCAUGUUGGCCGAAUUUGGGGGGACCGAGAGAGAAACCUUACUCUCUCUGUUUUUUCUAGAAAAUUGAAGGAAAUGAUUUCUUUUUUAUUUUUUUUGUAUUUAUAUAUGCUAUAAUACGGCGUCGUUUUGGCCUUAGCAUCAGUGGCCAAAAACGGCGCCAUUUUGAUGUUUGACCCGCGACCCGACCCAGUAACGCUAAAGAUCCGCGCGUUUUCGUUUAAGGGUCUAUUUGUGCAAUAGGUCCCUCCACCUUUGUUGCGUGUUUCAAUGUGCUUUUUUUAUUUUUUUGAUUUUGGCCACCAGAUUUUUAUUCUGUUUUAAUUUGGUUCUGGGAUGCGCAGGCCCCAGUAUUGCGAACGGCCCCGUUCAGGUGGCAUGGGAUUAUUUCCCUUUCGACCCUACGUCUAUGUGCGCAUUUCGCUCAGGUCCUGAAUGUUCUUUUGUUUUUCAAAUUUUACCCUUUAAUUUUAUUUUAACUUCAAUUCGGUCCUUUAUCCUAUAUUUUAUUAUUUUGAAUGCUUACCUUGAAAUAUCAUUUAGUUUCCAAUUUAAUACAUAUAUCCCACAUGUUUUAUGAUCCAUAUAUAUUCAUACGUCUUUUAUAUUUUAUAAUUUUAAAAUUUGUACAUGCAUACGUAUAUUUUAUAAUUUCUAUAUGCGUAUAUAUAUAUCUACAUAUGUAUUUUUUAAAUUUUUUUUUACAAAUAUACACAUACUUAUACAUACUCUUUAUAUUUUAAAAUCUAUAUUUUUCUUAUGUAUUUUCCAUAGUUUAUAAUUCAUGUAUACAUAUUUUUAGAAAUUUUACAAUGCAUACAUGCACAUAAUAUAUAUAUAUGCGUUUUAUUUUUAUAAAUACAUAUACAUUACCUACCUUUAUAUUUUAUAUCUUCCAUGACUUUAUAUAUAUAUAUACAUGAAUGUACACAUACAUACUUACAUAUUUUUUACGUACAUAGAUUUUUCAUAUUUUCAUAAUUUUAUGCACACACAUAUAUAUCUUUUUACUUUUUCAUAAUUUUAUUUAUUAUUUAUUUAUUUCAUUUUUAUUAUUGAUUUGAGGAAAUGUUUUAAUUUUAUUUGCUUGUAUACAUUGUUAUUUCGGACGUUAUUGAUUUGUACUUUUUAUUUAUCUUAUAUUCGUUGCUAUUACUCGUAUUAUUUUUACAUCAUCGUAUUCAAUAUUGUUUUGUUACGAACAUUAACAUCGUGUUUUAUUUUUACUAUUUGGUGUUAGAUUAUUUUUAUUCAACACAUAAAUUAUGAUUUUUUGAAUAAGCAAAAUCUCGUGUUUAGAUUGGAGAAGGUUGUACCCUAACUUACUGGGUUUCGAUUUUCGCAAUGACUUUAAAUACGUGAAUCUUUUCAAACUCAAGUUUUAAAUGAUCUUGGGAUUUAAAAAAGAUCGUGUCCUAACUUACUGGGCAUGAAUCCUUUUUAAAAAAAAAUCUGAGAUAGCUAAAUAUCUUUUAAACAAGCAAAUUUUUAGCAUCCAUUCGCGUAUCGGGAAUUCGAGAUAUUGUGUCCUAACUUACUGGAUAUGAUUCUCUUUCUCGAUUAACGUGAAAUAUGCCCAUUUUCCCAAAAAUUUUCAACAUUUUAAUACAAGGAUCGUAUUUUUUAAAAUUCUUUAAAGUUUUCAAAUUUCGACCUCAAGACAUUAGCUAAUCAACUAGGUACCAAUUUUUGGGCGUUACGAGGGUGCUAAUCCUUCCUCGUACGUAACCGACUCCCGAACCCGUUUUUUGAAUUUUGUGGACCAAAAUUAUUGUUUUAAUAAAAUCUAAAUCGUUUAUUAAAAACAAUCAUUUUAUGAGGUGACCCGAUCACACCUCAUCAAAAAAAGGAUUGGUGGCGACUCCCAUUUUUGUUUUAUUUUUGAAAUUUAAGUCGACCCCGUUUUACCAAAAAAUGGUGUCAACAGCUUGGCGACUCCGCUGGGGAAGAGAUAUGUGAGUCAAGCCACGUGUUGAUUACUUUUUGUCUUUUUGUCGAAAAUCGAGAAUUUAAUUUAAAUUUACGAUCCGUUCAUUGCAUUUCAUUCGUCUUUAUUACGAUCUUCAUCAUUGUGGUUUUAUAGUUGUGUUGGUUUAAGUCUUGAUAUAUUUUUGCACAUUGCAUUGCAUGACCGUUGGUCACACCUUUUAAGUGGGAGUGAGAAGCUAUUUCCUUCGUGAGGUAUUCACCUCCGUGCAGGAUAGCUGAUCACUUUCGGGAUACAUCCGUACCUAUGUCUUUGUAAGAUUUUCAUCUCCGUGCAGCCAUAGGGAAAUGUAUUCCCCUGAACCGAACUCGGUCCGUAUGAGCCUAUAAUGGGUGAGGAUCGAGGAACCUACUGGUUUGGGUACCUUCGCUUUAGAGCCGAACCACAUGUAGUGAACCUAAGAGCCUACCUUAGGAAGAACCACUUCAAACCCCUAGUGGUCACCCGAGUAGGUGUUCUAUUUAUUCUUGCUUGCUUUUGCUUUGUACUAACCUGUUUUCUUUUGUUUUGAUUAUGAUUGCAUUGCAUUAUCAUCAUUAAAAAGAGGUGUUGAUUCACGUUCAGUUGCUAAAUAGAGAGCUUGUGAUAAAGUGGAUGACGAUACGAUUGUCCGAAUAUGGUCCAAGAAAACGUGAUAAGAAAAGGAUGAUAGUUUAAUGGAGGACUACAAGACUAUUGCUCCGUUGCCCAAGGAUUCAAGAUGACAAAGAUUAUUCGAGAGUCGCUGAACCUUCUUAAAAAGAAGCCAAUGAGCAUUACGAGGAUGAGUGAGCAACGAGUCGCGGCCUAGAUCAAGCAAAAAGGAGAUAGAAGAGACAUCUUUUUGAAGAGUUCGUGAAAUUUAUCUUAACGCUCAAAUGAAGAAAAGGAUCAAUUGUCUCCGCAUAUGAGGGCAAAGCCGUAUAUAUCCGUUACAGAGAUUUAUUUUCUAGUAAAGCUGUUCUAAUAGAGUUGAAUCAGAAUCAACAUCUCUUUUUGCAUUCAUUCCAUGCAUCUGUUUUACAUUUCAUUGCAUCAUUUGCAUUAAAUUUCACAAAAGAGCCCUACUUAAACGAGAUUAUUUCAGUUAAUCUGGAAACCAACAAGAAUCUACCAACCAAAUAUCACUAUGGUACCCGUCGCAAAACAAAAGUAAUGGAUUAGAGGUUAGAAAGAUUGGAACAAUUGCAAAAAAAGAUGCAAGAUCAGAUGCAGGAACGACUAGAUAAAAUCCAGCAAGACAUGCAAGAAUCCUAGAACACUAUGAUGAACAAAUUGGAGCAGUUAUUGGCUGGAAGGAAUGAUAAAGGAAAAAGCCCUUUAGUUGAUUCUGGAGUUGAUCAUGAGGACCCUAUUUAUCCUCCAGGUUUUACCCCAAUAGGCAUCCAGGCACAACCGGAUAUAUGCCCGCAAAGAGUACCUGUCAUUAUCAGACCUCAAUAUACGGUUGGUGCCUCAGUGCCAAUGCAUUUUCAAACGGGCUUGGGUUCUAAUCCCGGAGACAACCCUACCAAUCCUGUGGUCCCUAAUCUCGAUGACGUGGAAGAAAUAGAAAAAGCAAGAAUGGACCUGCCAAAACAACUUGACGACCGAUGUAGAUGGCUAGAGGAAAAAUUUAGAGCCAUGGAAAACACCGACUACCAUUGUGGAGUUGACGCCAAGGAUCUGAGUUUGGUCCCUGAUUUAGUGCUCCCGCCUAAGUUUAAGAUGCUGGAGUUCAAAAAAUACAACGGGACUAGUUGUCCUGAAGCUCAUAUCACUAUGUUCUGUUGAAGGAUAAUAGGAUACGUCAAUAAUGAUCAACUAUUAAUCCACUGUUUCCAGGAUAGUUUGAUCGUGUCUGCAGCCAAGUGGUACAACCAAUUGAGUCGUGCUAAAGUUAGUUCAUGAAGAGACUUGGCACAAGCUUUUAUGAAGCAAUACAGUCAUGUAACAGAUAUGACACCUGAUAGAAUUACGUUACAGAAUGUGGAAAAGAAGCAAAAUGAGAGCUUUAGGCAAUAUGCCCAAAGAUGGAGAGAGGUAGCGACACAAGUCCAGCCACCUCUUCUGGAGAAAGAAACCACAGUGCUUUUCAUUAACACUCUGAAAGCCCCAUUCAUUAACCACAUGUUGGGAAGCACUACUAUGAGCUUCUCAGAUAUGGUAAUGUCUGGCGAGAUGAUUGAAAACGCCAUAAGAAGUGGGAAGAUAGAUGCAAGGGAAGGUGCCAAAAGAUCAACCCCAAAGCACAAAGAAAAUGAAGUGAGCAACCUGAGCUUGUAUAAUAAAGGGUAUUCAAAAUUAGUCACUGUAGGCCAGCCAAGGACGGUAGCAGCUAGCUAUCAAGGCCCCUCAAAGUAAGAAUCCAACUCGAGGCCAAACACAGAAAGACUCGAGUUCACACCUAUCCCGGUGAUGUAUAAGGAGUUAUAUCAAAAUCUGUUUGAUGCGCAUGUAGUAGCUCCGUUCUACUCAAAACCCAUGCAACCUCCAUACCCCAAAUGGUACGACGUAAAUGCUCAAUACGAGUAUCACGUAUGAACUACGGGGCACUCGAUUAAAAACUACACUACAUUUAAAAAGUUAGUCGAAUGGUUCAUUAAUAUGGGCAUCGUGAAGUUUGACGAUCCAUCUGGACCUAAUGUGGCAGGAAGUCCGUUACCCAGUCAUCCAGACCCAGGAGUAAAUGCGAUAGCUGAGAAUGGAGGAAAAAAAACCAAAACAAAUGUUGCAGAAGUAAAACCCCCACUAAAAUGGGUUUUGAAACAAAUGAUGGACAUGGGAUUAAUCAUUCAGAAUUUGGAGAAGAGACCAAAAUGGAUGAGGAGCUACUGUGAGUUUCACGCUAAAGAAGGCCAUGAAAUCCAGGAGUGCACUGAAUUCAAAGCUUUGGUGCAAAGUAUAAUGGAUAAUAAAGAGUUGGAAUUCUUUGAAAAAGUCAAAGGCCUAGAAGAAAUGUUGGGAAAUUUAAAUGUUAACGAUGUAUCCGAAGAGGGAACUGAGGAAGAUAAUUUAUGAGGCAUCGGCCCUUAACGCAUUUGGGAGUGUUUUGAACAAUGAGAUUGUGGAAGAGAUCCCUAUAUUUUUUUAGAUCUAUUUCAAAGUAAUGUCCAAAACACGCUUAUUGCUCUAAGCCUAGGAGCAAUAAGAAUCCUUUUGUGAGAUAGACUUAUGUUCAAUAUCUUUAUUUUAAUAAAAUGCAUCUUUGUUUCUCACUUCGAGCAAAUAUUCCUUUAUUAUUUCCAUUUCAUUCAUAAUCAUACUGUACAGAUAAAUAUUCUUAGAUUCUUUUUAUUCUUUGGAUUUGCUUUCGUCCCUACAAUAGGUCUCCAGAUAUCAAAGAUAUGAGUGACACUACUACUGACUCAGAAUCUCCUUUGAGCAAGAUAUGUGUCCAGAUGAGCCUCAGGACUUUGAAGAUAACUGAGACUGUAACUUAUCCCCUGAUUUGUUAAUGAUGGUAGAACAAGAUCCUACCUUACAAAUAAUCAAUGGAAGUCUUGACCUUUCUCUAUGUGGGGUACGGAUGUCAUUGAACCAAUCUCGUCUAAGGUUUUGGCGAUCAUCAAUUCAUCUUUAUGGUCGUUAAUUACCUCACUAAGUGGGUAGAAGCUGCUUCAUAUGCCAAUGUCACAAAAAUGACGGUCAGUAAAUUCGUAAAAAAAGAAAUCAUAUGUUGGUAUGGGAUGCCGAAAAGGAUCAUAUCUGAUGAUGCACCAAAUUUGAAUGAUAGCACGAUAUCAGAAGUUUGCAGUCUGUUCAAGAUUAACACCAUGUCGCCCAAAAUGAAUGAUUCAGUGGAGGAAAAAAAAAGGAAACCAAACAAAAAACAAAACAAAAAAAACAAAAAACAAAAAUAAAAAAACAAAAAAUAAAAAACCUCUACCGGGGUAACUUAUUUCUCAUUGGUAUAUAGAAUAGAGGCAAUUUUACCCAUCGAAGUUGAUAUUCCUUCCCUUCAAGUCUUGUUAGAGCUGAAGUUGGAUGAAGCAGAAUAGAUCUAGGCCUGAUAUCAUCAGUUAGAUUUGAUUGAUAAGAAAAGGUUAAAAGUUAUCUGUCAUGGUCAAUUGUACCAAAAGCGAAUGAUGCGAGUUCACUAAAAGGUUCGCCCAGAGAAUUCCAUGAGGAGGACUUGAUAUCGAAGAAGAUCCUUCUCAAACAAAAGGACUUAAGAAGAAAGUGAAUGCCAAAAUGGAAAGGACCUUAUGUGGAAGGCCUUAUUUGAAAAAGCGUUGAUAUUGACCAAGAUAGAUGGUAAGAACCUGCCCAAUCUUGAGAAUUCUGAUUCCAGCAAUAAAUACUUCACUUGAAAAAAGAAACGAAAAGAAAAAAGAAAAGAAGAAGAAUGAAAAAAGAAAAAGGAAAGGCCAAGGUGAAAACCCGCAAAGGGCGCCUUGAGACCAAAGAGGUUUUGAAUUGAAAACCCAGGAAUGGGCAGUUCAAAUUUUGAUCAAAGGUGGGGCAUGCAGUAGUCUUGUCGUCUCUGAAUUAAUAAGAAGGAGAGAUGCUACAUCUUGGGGGCAUCAAUGAAGUCUUCUAGGACUUCUAAACACAUAUCAAGUUCAAAAGGGUCCUCAAGAAGUUUGGGGCAGAGAAGCUCAUGCCACGAUAUCUGGGGCACCUCUUUUCAUUUAUUCUUUUUGUAUUUGUGACAAAAUACGCCAUCUUGAUUAAUUUAUUCUCAUUUUGUAUUCUAGCAAAAUUUGCUAUCUUGAUUAAUUUAUUCAUUCAGAGCUUUGCUCUCAAUAAUUUUUCAUCUUAUCCAUUGUGAUAAUCCUUUCAUCUUAUUCAUCUCAUAUCUUAGCAAAAUUUGCUAUCUUGAUUGAUUCAUUCAUUUCAAGCUUUGCUCUCGACAAAAUUUUAUCUGGUCCAUUUUGAUAAUCUUUUUCAAGCAUUUUUCUUUGAAAUAACGAUUAUUGGACUGAUAAUGUUCAAGCAAAAGAAGUUUUGCAUAUUACUCUGAAAGCUUCUAAAUAGUACGAGGACCUAAAGCAGGGCUAUUGUUUAGAACUAACCAACUUAAGGGUUAGAAGCAUUGGAGAAAGAAUAAUCUAAAUUGCGACUAUUUCUUUGGUUUUUCUAUCAAAGAUACCACUGAAUAAGAAAGCAUCGGUGAUAAAACCUUGAUGAACAAUAAAGAAUGACAAUCUAAGCAUUAAAAAUGGAUCAUUCUCAUGACAUUCUACAAAUAUCAUACAUACACAUCUAGUUAGGAGCAUUUUAUUCAUUCUAAUCAUGACAUCCUAAAUGCUAGGCAUAAAUAGGUAUAUAAAAUGGAUUUUACAGGUCAUGUUCCCCAAGGAACAGAUCAAUGAAGUUACCCAUACCCCUGAAGUUGCAGUGGGAUGGAUUGAAGUCAUCAUAUCCAACAUUAUCUCCCUGAGCAACAGUGGAGAAGGUUGAAGAAAGCAAGUCUUGUCUUCCUGUAUUGGCAGCGAAGUAGACUGAAGAUAGCAGAUCUUGUCUUAUUGUAUUGGCAGCGAAGUAGACUGAAGAUAGCAGAUCUUAUCUUCCUGUAUUAGCAGCAAAAUGGAUCAAAGAUAGCAGAUCUUGUCUUUCUGUAUUGGCAGUAAAGUGGAUCAAAGAUAGUAGAUCUUGUCUUCCUGUAUUGGCAGCGAAGUAGAUCGAAGAUAGCAGAUAUUAUCUCCUUGAGCAGCAGUGGAGUAGAUCGAAGAUAGCAAGUCUUGUCUUCCUAUAUUGGCAGCGAAGUAGACUGAAGAUAGCAGAUCUUGUCUUCCUGUAUUGGCAGCGAAGUAGACUGAAGAUAGUAGAUCUUGUCUUCCUGUAUUGGUAGCGAAGUAGAUCGAAAAAAGUAGAUCUUGUCUCCCUGAGUAGCAGUGGAGUAGAUCGAGGAUAGCAAGUCUUGUCUUCCUGUAUUGGCAGCAAAGUAGAUUGAGGAUAGCAGAUCUUGUCUUCCUGUAUUGGCAGCAAAGUAGACUGAAGAUAGUAGAUCUUGUCUUCCUGUAUUGGCAGCGAAGUAGAUCAAAGAUAGCAGAUCUUGUCUCCCUAAGCAGCAGUGAAGUAGAUCGAAGAUAGCAAGUCUUGUCUUCCUAUAUUGACAACGAAGUAGACUGAAGAUAGCAAGUCUUGUCUUCCUGUAGUGGCAGUAAAGUAGACUGAAGAUAGGAAGUCUUGUCUUCCUGUAUUGGCAGCGAAGUAGACUAAGGAUAGCAGAUCUUAUCUUCCUGUAUUUGGCAGCAAAGUAGAUCGAAGAUAGCAAGUCUUAUCUUCCUGUAUUGACAGUGAAAUAGACUGAGGAUAGUAGAUCUUAUCUUCCUGUAUUGGCAGCGAAGUAGAUCGGAGAUAGCAAGUCUUAUCUCCCUAAGCAGUAGCAGAGCAGACAGAUGAAACCAAUCCUAUCUCUCUGAAGUUGCAGUGGAGCAGAUUAAAAUGAUGAAUCAUAUGCCUCUGAAAUUACAGUAGGUCGAAUUAGAUCAUAUCACAUCAAACCUUAUCUCCCUGAAGUUACAGUGGAGCAGACUAAAACCACGAAUCUCAUCCCCACGGAUUUACAACAGAGUAGAUUGAAGUCAUAUCUCUCUGAGGAUGCCGUGAAGAGGAUCAAAGUCAUAAGGCGCAGUGGGCUAGAAAGAGACUACUUGAAGAAGAGGAGUAUCAAGAGAUCAAGAUUCGUGCGACCAUUGAACGUAAAAUCAAAAUGCUUAAAGUGUAUGGAGAUUCCGCGUUGGUGAUAUACCAACUCAAAGGAGAGUGGGAAACCAAAGACCCUAAAUUGAUCAAUUAUAAAGAACUGGUUCUUGAAUUGAUUUACGAGUUUGAUGACAUCACCUUCAGUUAUCUCCCAUGAAAGGAAAACCAAAUGACUGAUGCAUUGGCUACUCUAGCUUCGAUGAUUCAGGUGAACAGGCUUGAAGUAAUGAAGCCUAUUCAGAUGAGUAUCUACAAAACCCCAGCUCAUUGCUACAAUAUUAAGGGGAAGGGAAAAGACAAUCACCCUUGGUAUCGGAGUAUCCUACAGUAUGUGAAGAAUCGGGAGUACCCUAGCCAGGCAACAGAGAACGACAAGAGAACUCUGAAAAGAAUAGCCAUCGAAUAUAUCUUAGAUGGGGAAGUGUUAUACAAAAGAAGGAAAGAUCAGGUAUUGUUAAGAUGUGUAGAUGCCGUAGAAGCUAAGAAAAUUUUGGAGGAAGUCCAUGAGGGUAUCUGUGAGACGCACGUCAAUGGCUUCACCAUGGCCAGAUAGAUCAUGAGAUUUGGGUACUAUUGGUCCACUAUGGAAGGGGAUUGCAUUAAUUACGCCAAGAAAUGCCAUAAAUGUCAAAUUUAUGGAGACAAGAUGCAUCCCCCCUUCGCUACUUCAUGUUAUGACCUCUCCAUGGCCAUUUUCCAUAUGGGGUAUGGAUGUCAUUGGGCCGAUAUCGCCAAAGGCUUCUAACGGGCAUCGUUUCAUCUUCAUAGUCAUUGAUUACUUCACUAAGUGGGUAGAAGUUGCUUCUUAUGCAAAUGUCACGAAGUCAGCAGUUAGUAAAUUCUUGAAAAAUGAGAUUAUUUGUCGAUAUGGAAUGCCUGAGAGAAUCAUAUCCAACAAUGCGCUGAAUUUGAACAAUAGCACAAUAGCAGAGGUUUGCAGCCAAUUUAAGAUCAAGCAUCAUAACUCAUCGCCGUAUCGUCCAAAAAUGAAUGGUGCAGUAGAGGCGACCAAUAAGAAUAUUAAAAGAAUUGUGGGGAAAAUGACUGAGACUUACAAAGAUUGGCAUGAGAAGUUAUCAUUUGCUCUCCUUGCCUAUCGAACAUCUGUUAGAACUUCUACUAGGGCAACACCUUUUUCUCUAGUUUACGGAAUGGAGGCAAUAUUACCCAUCGAAGUUGAAAUCCUCUCUCUACGGGUAUUAUCCGAACUCUAGUUGGACGAGGCUGAAUGGGUCCAAUCUCGUUAUGAUCAGUUGAACCUAAUAGAGGAGAAGAGAUUAAAAGCUAUUUAUCAUAGGCAAAUGUACCAGAAACGAAUGAUGUGAGCCUAUGAUAAAAAGGUUCACCCCAGAGAAUUUAGUGAAGGAGAUUUGGUGCUAAAAAAGAUUCUUCCUAUGCAAAAGGACUUUAGAGGAAAAUGGAUGCCAAAUUGGGAGGGUCUUUAUGUCGUAAAGAAGGCCUUUGAUGGUGGAGCUUUGAUUCUAAGUGAGAUAACUGGAAAAGACUUGCCCAAUCCCGUAAAUUCAGACUCAGUCAAGAAAUACUUCACUUGAAGAAAAGGGACCAAAGUGAAAACCCGCAAAGGGCGCUUUGAUCCCUAAAAAAAAAGAAAUGAUGAUGAUAAAAAUGGAGAGGCUAAGGGGAAAACCCGCAAAGGGCACCUUAGGCCAAAGGGGAUUUGAGUUGAAAACCCGAAAAGGGCGGCUCAAAUGUUUGAUCAGAAUGGGACAUGAAAUGCUUAGAGCAGCUGGUAUCUUGAUCAGAUCGGGAUGUGUGGCAAUCUUGCUAUGCCUGAAUUAACAAGAAGGGAUAGGCGAUAUCUUGGGGCAUUGACAAAGCAUUGAAGAUCUCCUAAACACAUGUCAAACUCAGGAUGGCCUUUAGAAAGUUUGUACAGAGAAAUUCAAGCUGCGAUAUCUGGGGGAUUUAAUUCCCCUAUUAUUUUGUAUAUAUUGAAUUUUGUUGAUUCUUGGAAUAUUUUCUUUCUCUUUUCCAAGAUAUAUAUUCCCAAUCAAUUUCUCUACUAUUUGUGAUGACUUAUUUAUUUUUAGCUAUGUUCAGAACCAAAUUUAUUCUUAUAUAUUGUUAUGACCUUUUCUGCAAACAUGUUACAUUAGAAUAAUGAUUAAUGGACUAAUAAAACUUUCACAAAAGAAGUUUUGCAUAUUACUCUGAAAAGUUCCUAAAUAAUACAGGAGCCUAAAACAAGACUAUUGUUUAGAACACACCCAAUUUUAAAGAUUGGAAAUUUGAGAAGGAGUUUAAAUUUGGACUUUCUCUUUGGAUUUUGUUGUCAAAUGCAUUGAUUGGCAAGAUGCCAUGUUGAUGACGAAGCUUAAGUAAACAAGCAAACAAUGAUCACCAGGCAAGAGGAAGAGGUUACUUUGAAAAAGCCUUCAUCUACACAUAAGUUUCUAGUAUGACACCUUCAAAAUUGUGUGAGAAACCAGAACGAUUCAGAUCCUAUAUCCUUGAAUUGUGGGGAUUGAGGAAAAGCCACAUAUUUCUACCCUUGGAUUACAAUGGGAAAGUGGUGGUACAAUUUUUUUGCGCCCCAAUGGUUUAAACUUUAAGGUUCACAGUGGGGGCAAUCUGACUAAGUGAUUCUUUGAAGAAGCCGGUCAAGCGAGGAGGCGUUACAGCACAUCAGUGUUAAAGCCUUAAUAAAUUUCGAGUAAUAAUAACCUAAGCGGGAUCAUUCUCAAAAAAUAAAAUUCUGCAUUCAUGCAAACACUAUCCACACAUGUCUAUUUAGGAGCAUUCGAUUCAUUUUGAUCAUGCCAUCCUAAUCAUUAGGCAUAAUUAGGUUCAUUAUACAGGUCAUGUUCCCCAGAGAAUAGAUCAAUAAAGAUCGAAAACAAAGCCUUGCCUCCAUCGGUUGCAGUGGAGCGGAUUAAAAUAAAGGAUCUUAUCUCUCUGAAGUUACAGUAGAGUAGAUCGCAUCAGAUUGAAGCCAAAAAUCUUAUCUCCCUAAGAUUACAGCGGAGCAGAUUGAAGCUAGAAAUUCUAUCUCCCUGAGAUUACAGUGGAGCGGAUUAAAAUAAAGGAUCUUAUCUCUCUGAAGUUAUAGUAGAGUAGAUCGCAUCAGAUUGAAGCCAGAAAUCUUAUCUCCCUGAGAUUACAGUGGAGCAGAUUGAAGCUAGAAAUCCUAUCUCCCUGAGAUUACAGUGGAGCAGAUUAAAAUAAAGGAUCUUAUCUCUCUGAAGUUAUAGUAGAGUAGAUCGCAUUAGAUUGAAGCCAGAAAUCUUAUCUCCCUGAGAUUACAGUGGAGCAGAUUGAAGCUAGUAAUCCUAUCUCCAUGAGAUUACAGUGGAGCGGAUUAAAACAAAGGAUCUUAUCUCUUUGAAGUUACAGCGGAGUAGAUCGCAUCAGAAUGAAGCUACAACAGCAAAUCUCACUACCCCGACCUCACAAUUAAGCAGAUUAAGGUUACGAGUUACAAAUCCUAUCUCCCUGAUGUUACAGUGGAGUGGAUCGAAGCACCAAUUCCUAUACCUCUGAAGAUGUAGUAGGUUGAAAUGAGUCAACUCGAAGAAGAAGAGCACCAAGGUCCAAACACGACUGGGCAAAAAGGGGCUUUAGUCUUUGCACCGUUCCCGUUACACGACAACAAGCAAAGAGGGGUAGCUGUAAUAGCCCAUUUUUGCCCGGGCCCGUAAUAAGUAAACCAAAAUUAAAAAUUAAAAAUUAAAGUCCAAAAAAUAAUAAUAGAGUCCAUUUUUUACAAUAGGCCUAAUAGCCCAAAUCCACUACCCAAACCUAAUUAGCCCAAAUCCACUACUUAAACCCAACUAGCCCAAAUGCCCAUGACCGAACACUAAAUCUGAUUAGCCCAAUUACAGUGGCCCGACACCUAACCCAAAACCCGAUUCAGCCCAAUUAGCCCAUUUUGAAAAAGCAUUCCAGAAAUCACUAGGGUUUCUAGAACCCUUCAGCCGCCAUUGCCACGCACGGGCUCCCCUUCGAGCCACUCCUCACGCGCGUGAUGCCUUCGUACGCCACGCAUGCCUCCGUACGGCCACCUCUGUACCUCUAGGCUGGCCGAGUACCUGCAAAUACAAGCGAACACACGGAAGCAGCAACAAAUAGAAAAACAACAGCAUUUUUAUUUUAUUUUUUUAUUUUCUGUAAAUGGGGCUAUAAAGAAGCCAUUCGAACACUGUAAACGAUUUACACGCAUUUUCAGAAUACAGAAAUCAAAAAAAGUUCCAAAAGGUGAUUUUCGGUUCUCUUUUCUUUUUCGCAGAUCGUUUUCCUUCUUUCCUUUUGUUUUUACAUACAUUAGUCAUCUGUUAAAGGAGAAAAGGGGAACCAAAAGGGAAGAGGGGCAUACCUGAGGGCCGGAUUUUUGCUCACUCCGCAGCCAUCGGAGUUGGGGCGAAUAUUGGGAGUCUUUGGAGGCAAUGAAUCCCCAGAGCGGCGACGAGCCUUUCUUUUUGUUUAGGUUUUGCUAAUGUAAACCCUAGGUUUUAGGAUUUAUUUAGUUUUUAAGUGCAUGAAUUAAAACGACGCCGUUCAGAGUCAAUGCAAUGGCACUGAAAUGACAUUGUUUUGGAGACUCAACCCAAACGAUGACCCGAUCCGGGAAGGAUCCGCACAAUAUGGGUCGAAUGGUUUAUUUGCUAAAUAGGUCCCUGUGUGUUUAUUGAGAUUACGUUUUGUUUUUUUAUUUAAUUGUAAUUUGUACGGCACAUUUAAUUUUGUUUCCAUUCAGAUCCGACUUGAUACGGUACCGUUCUGCGGUUGAUUGUUAUUGUUUAUAAUGCUUGCGUUUAAUUGUUGGUUUAGUCCUCCAAGGUUAAAAAGGAUUUCGAUUUGAUACAAAUUUAGAUUUUUUUACUCAAAAUGCCUUUAAUUAUAAUUAAUCCUACUUUUAUAAACGGAUUUCAUUAUUGUUUUAAUUUUAUCUAAGCUUCGAUUUUUAAAAGAAUUUGUUGAUUAUUAUUUUCAAUGUCAAAAAAUGCCUUUUAUGUUAAUUUUGAUUUAAAAAGUUUUUUUUAAAUAAAUCAAUUUUUAAUAUUACUUUAAUAGAUAUUUUUUUCAAAUUUAUUAUUAGCACAAAUUCUAUUUUUUAAAAAAAAUAUAAUAAUAAUAAUAUAUUUUUUAAUUGUUAUCAAUAUGUUUUAAAUGUAUCAAUAUUAUUUAAAAAUACAUAUAAUUUAAAUUAGACUAUUUUAGUAUAUAUGUACAUAGGGUAUAUCGUUAACUUCAAAUUAACCUUUUAUUCACAUAAUUUUUUAUACAUAAUUGUUUUAUUUCUUAAACCUUAUUUAUUUUAUUCGUUUUGGUGGGUUGUCAAAUUAUUAAUAUGGAUGUUUGUAUAAUAUGAUUAAGGUCAAUGUUAGUAUUUGCCUAUUAUUUGUUUAAUUGUUUCUAGUUUAAGUUUAAAUUGUUAUUUAUAUUUUGCAUUACAAGUUGUUAUUCAAUUAUGUUGGUUGUAAAAAUUUCAUUUCGUUAAAAUAUUAUAAUCGUUUCAUUUCAAAAGUUCAAAAAAGAGGCUUGGUGUUAAAUAAUUCUCGAGAGAAUUGUGCCCUAACUUACUGGGCCUCAAUUCUUCUCGAUGAAUUUAUAUCAUCAAGUAUCCCUUUCUUUAAGACAUUUAAAAAAAAAUUCUUUAGAUUUCAAAAUGUUGGAUCCUAACUUACUGGAUGUGACAUUUUGUUAUCUCGUUUUUAAAUAAAGGAAAUAUUUGGUGUUUAAGGAUUUUAAGAAAAUUGAACUCUAACUUACUGGGUUUUGAUUUUCUCGAUCGAUUUAAAUAACCAAAUAUCCUUCUCAAAAUGUAUGAAUUUGUUUUAAAUUUUAAAAAGGGACGAAUCUAACUUCGAAGAUUGAAUCGUUGCACUCUAACUUACUGAAUAUAACGAUUUAUUUCUUUAAAGUAGGUAAGUCUUAUUUCCCAAUCCGAUUACUCAAAUUUUCUUUUCAAAGGAUUGUAUUUUAAAAUCCUUUCAAAGUUUCGACAUUAAGACAUUAAAUAAUCGAUUCGGUACCAAUUUUGGGCAUUACGAGGGUGCUAACCCUUCCUCGUGCGUAACCGACUCUCGAACCUUAUUUUUUUCAAAAUUCGCAGACCUAAAAUUAUUUUCAAGGUGAUCUGAUUACACCACAAUAAAAUAUCAGUGGCGACUCCCAUUUCCGUUUUCAUUUUAAAAGUCGAUCCCCGUUUUUUUAAAUUUCAAAAAAAAUGGUUUCGACAAGAAACAAAUGAUUCAUUAUAUAUAUAAUAUAAUUAUGAAAUUCAAGCCAUAUAUUUUAUGUUUCAUACAUAAAAAUUUCAUGGGAGGCCCAAAGGUAAUUAAAUGACUUGUAGGCUUGCUGAAUUUCUUUGAAAGGCCCAAAGGCAAUUUAACAUUCACAAAAUAAUCUCUAAAUACUGUAAAGACAAAUCAAAUCCACAGUAGCAUAAGAGUUGAUUAAGCUAAGCAUUGGCAAAUAUUACUAUGAUUUUGCAUGCAAUAUUGGCAAAACCUCCUCUUACAUUAGAAAAACAACAUAAUCCAUGAAACAUUGAUAGCCCAAUACAAAUUUCAUCGACAUGAAAGUCUCUUUGUUUUGUAGAACAUGAUAGUAAAGAUGUGGAGUUUCAUUCUUCUUAUUGGCCUCCUUUAGUUUUCCUUGAUCAACAACCACUAGCCAAAAACACAAUUAGAUUACAUUAUCAAUGAUACUCUCAACUAUGACAAUAUUAAAUACAAAACACUCUAAAUAACUCUAAAUAAAUGGAAAGCAGCAAAAUUACCUGACGAGACAAGCUAGCUCAAUUAAGACCAUUGUGUUAUACUUGUCUCUGAAUUGAAAAUUUUAGAAGGAAAUAAAGAGAAAGACUUAGAAAAUACUUGAAAACAGGUAAAACUUAUAUGUCAUUUAAAAUAAAAAAUUUCUAUAUAAGCCAUUUAAAAUUUUUAAGAUUUUUAAAAUUUUAAAAUGAUAAAGGUAAAAUUGUACUUUGGCAUCCCAAAAAUGACAAAACUUUGAUUUAAUUCUUUAGAAAUUAUAAAAAUAUAGGCUAUUAAAAUGGUGAAAUUAUAUUUUUACUAUAGUAAAAAAUUACAAUUUAAUUUCACCCCUAAAAGGACUUUCUCACUUCGCCCCUAAUAAAAUCUUUUGCAAAAGAUUAAAAUAAAAUUAUACAUAAGAAAAUCCAAUCUAACAAAGAAAAUAACUUCUUGUCCAAAAGCUACCAUAAACCGUAAUUCAUGGGAAGGCUUGUUGCUUAUUUUAUUGGUUUCCAUUUCGAUUUUGCAAAAGAAGUUUGAAUUUUGAAGAGAGCCUACUACGUGAGAGCAAAAGAAAAAAAAAGUUUAUAUGAUUAAAUUCCAGAAUAGAUUAAAAAUGUUGAAUUAAAGAUAAAAUUAAGUGUGAAUUAAAAAAAUUUCUAUUUAGGCCCUUUAAAAUUUUAAAAUGAUAAAGAUAAAACUGUACUUUGGCACCCAAAAAAAAUAAAAUUUUAAUUUAAUCCUUUAAAAUUUAUAAAAAUAUAGGUUAUUAAGUGUGAAUUAAUAACCACAAGUGUAUUCAUUACUCACCAUCUCUGUUAAAAAUGUUGGAUGUUGUUUAGCAACCUUUGUUUGAUUUUCUUCAGCUCAACCACAACAUCUUUCAUAUCUUUUCUUUCUUCUGGUAACUCAGCUGAACAAUUCAAAGCCAACUCCAUGAUAGAUGAAAUACAAUUUGCUUUAACAACAAUGUACUCAUCCUCUCUUCUUAAUAAAUCAACAUCUGCAAUUUCUAUCGCUCCUUUAGGCAAUGAUCUUUCCAUCCAAUGCCUUAUACUCUCUUCUUCAACAAAAACAUUAUCAGUUGGCUUUUUCUUUGUGAAAGUUUCUAUAAGGACGAUCCCAUAACUAUAGAUGUCAGAUUUUAUAGAAACAAUUCCUACUGAUCCAAAUUCUGCAUUUCAAGUAUAAUUAGAACAUCAUCAAUCCUCAAUUAUUUCUAAAAUGCUUAUUCAAAUAUAUAUCCACAUCCACAUGAAACAAAAAUAUAAAAUGCAUAUUAGGAAAAUAAUCAUACAAAAAUAAAAAAGAAUUCACCUGGUGCUAUAUACCCGAUAGUUGCAAGAGUCAUGGUUUGCUUCAUUACUUCACCUUCCCCCAACAAUUUGGCAACGCCACAAUCUCCAACAUGUGCAACCAUGUCUUCAUCUAGUAAAAUAUUGCUUGGUUUUAUGUCACAGUGAAUUAUAGGUGUUGGAUGUCCAUUGUGGAGGUGUUCUAUGGCUACCGCAACAUCUAUCAUUAUGUCGACCCUUUGUAUGAUAUCAAGGAAACAAUUUUCAGAAUGUAACCAUUUCUCAAGGUUUCCAUUAGACAUGUAAGCAAGCACCAAGGCUUUGAAGUCAACACUUGAGCAGCAAGUAAUGACCUUCACAAUAUUACGAUGAACUAUAUUACGCAUAGCAUCACAUUCAAUGUCAAAACUGCUAAAUGCUCCCUCUGUUUGCAAAUUAAAAACUUUUAUUGCAACUUCCAUUCCAUCUGAAAGCCUCCCUUUAUAUACAUAUCCAAAACUCCCUGAACCAAGCAUAUUGCUUUCCUCAAAUCCAUUAGUUGCUCGUGAAAGCUCAGCAUGUGAAAUUCUUCUCGGUGUUAUCAAAGACAACAAAUCAUCUUUAAUUGGUAGACUUGUACUCCUUCUUCGGCAUCUUCUAUACAUAAUAGUUAAGACUAUUAGUACUACGACAAUACCAAUUGUUGGUAAACCAUACCUAAAAGCAUGCAAUAUAAUCAUUUGGGAGUUUUUGUGGAUGUCAUUUUUGCAAGGGGGGACUAGCAAUCUAGGUGGACCACAAAGUGCAUAAUUCUUCAUGAAUGAUGUGCUAGAAAAGUUUGAAAAACAUCCUUUGCUUGGAAUUUCCCCUUCAAGUCUAUUGAAAGACACAUUAAAAUACUUUAGAUAUAAAAGCUUUUCCAAAGAUUUGGGAAUGACU
rnacentral:lncRNA from 1 species